rnacentral:lncRNA from 1 species
CAGAAGGUUAAGAUACAUCUUCUCACCACCAUCGCUCGAAAUUUGCCACAAUUGUGGAUUUUGGAUAUAUCUGACUGUGAGGAAUUGGAGCAAAUAAUUGAGAAGGAUCAAACUCCAUCACAACAUCAUCUCCAACCUAUUUGCUUCCCUUAUCUGUCUUUGAUUACAAUAAGGAAGUGUGAAAACUUGAAAUGUCUCUUCUCGAUUACUCUUGCUCAUGGCGGCCUUCCAAACCUAGAUCAAUUAGACCUUCUAAGGCUCUCCAAAUUAGAGCAGGUGUUUGAAGGAGAUGAGUCAAAUGUGAGUAAGGACCAAGAGAAAGUGAUACACCUACCUCGAUUAACCGACUUAGUGCUUCGUAACCUACCAAACCUCGUGAGCUUCAGCCCUGUGGGUUAUCAUUUUGUUUUCCCAUCUUUAACGGAUUUACAAGUAAAAGGUUGUCCCAACAUAACCACAAGAUUUAGUGUUGAUUCAGAGAAAUCAGUGCAUGCUAAAACACAGGUACACUACUCUUCCAAACUCAGCAAUAAGCUUUAAAACAGAAAUUCAUCCAUUCAAUUAUUUUCUCAUGUAUUCUCCCAAACUCUUUAUUUACUAAGCUUUAAUUUCUAUGCAUUAACACAAUAUUUUUAUUUUGGCUGUCUGAGAGAUUCUUUUUUUAUGCUUUAAAUGACUAAAUGAAAUUGCAUCAACUGUGAUUGGUUUCUGCUGGCUGUCAAUAUUUCUUUCUACAUAUCCUUGUUACAUUGUUAUUUUCAAUUCACAGUUCUUGUUCUUAAUAUGUCAUCCUUUGUCCAAUUUUGGGAUACUGGCUUUGCUUUCUUCAUCAUCAAUCAUCAAAGGUUUAAUUUGCUUUGCAGGCAAGCCAAUCAGUUGAUGAAAUUAUAGUGGAAGAAUCUGCUACAGCUCAAGAAACUGCAUUGCCAAUUGGUUAUAUGUGCUGGACCAAAGAGGAAGAUGAAAGUGAUUUUGAAUAUGAAGAUGAAAGUGAUGAAGUGAUUUUGAAUAUGAAGAUGAAAGUGAUUUUGAAUAUGAAGGUGAAAGCACAGGUACACUACUCUUCCAAACUCAAUAAUAAGCUUUAAAACAAAAGUUCAUCCAUUGAAUUUCUUUCUCUAUGUAUUCUCUCAAUACUAAGCUUUAAUUUCUAUGCAUUAAUGCAAUAUUUUUAUUUUGGCUGCCUGAGAGAAAUUCUUUUUUUUUUUAUGCUUUAAAUGACUAAAUGAAAUUGCAUCAACUGUAAUCGGUUUCUGUUGGCUGUCAAUACUUCUUUCUAGAUAUCAUUGUCGCAUUAUUAAUUUCAAUUCACAGUUCUUAUUCAUAAUAUGUCAUCCUUUGUCCAAUUUUGGAGAAUUGGCUUUGCUUUCUUCAUCAUCAAUCAUCAAAAGCAAACAGUAAUAAGUUAAGGUUUAAUUUGCUUUGCAGGCAAGCCAAUCAGUUGAUGAAAUUAGAGUGGAAGAAUCUGCUACAGCUCAAGAAACUGCAUUGCCAAUUGGUUAUAUAUGCUGGACCAAAGAGGAAGAUGAAAGUGAUUUUGAAUAUGAAGAUGAAAGUGAUUUUGAAUAUGAAGAUAAACAGGUACACUACUCUUCCAAACUCAAUAAUAAGCUUUAAAACAAAAGUUCAUACAUUGAAUUAUUUUCUCUAUGUAUUCUCCCAAUACUAAGCUUUAAUUUCUAUGCAUUAACACAAUAUUUUUAUUUUGGCUGUCUGAGAGAUUCUUUUUUUAUGCUUUAAAUGACUAAACUGUAAUUGGUUUCUGCUGGCUGUCAAUAUUUGUUUCUAGAUAUCAUUGUUGCAUUAUUAAUAUCAAUUCACAGUUCUUGUUCUUAAUAUGUCAUCCUUUGUCCAAUUUUGGAAAACUGGCUUUGCUUUCUUCAUCAUCAAUCAUCAAAAGCAAACAGUAAUAAGUGAAGAUUUAAUUUGCUUUCCAGGCAAGCCAAUCAGUUGAUGAAAUUAUAGUGGAAGAAUCUGCUACAGCUUAAGAAACUGCAUGGCCAAUUGGUAGUGAUAUAGAAGGGUGGACUAAAGAGGAAGACGAAAGACAUUUUGAAUUUUAAAAUGAAUGGAGCAGUAAAUGAAGUAAUUUAUAUUUAAGGAGUUGAUUUGAAAAUUACGCAUUGUGAAUGUUUAAAUUGAAUGCCAUUUAUUCGUUAAAUUGAAGACAGAUUUAUUGAGCUAUAAGCGAGGAAUGAGCUGAUGUUUGAAAGAAAAUGGCCUAAAAUGUCUAGUUUGGUAUUUCUUUCAAAUAUUCGGGCAUUGAUGUGGGUUAGAUCAGUAUAUGAUGAAUUGAAAGUGGAUGAGAGAAUUUGGUGGGUCUGCCCUAUUAGAAGUUGGAGUGAUGUCAAGAAAUCUGGGUUGAGUGGUAGGUUUUGGUGUCCUCCAUGUUUUGGUUGUGUUGAAGUUGGCCAGCAUGUGGCACAAGAACCAGCAAGCAGCAGGCCAUGCAGCCCGAGCCAAGCAGAUGCAGUUGAGGAAACUGUUUCUUUUAGUUCAUUUUGUUACACUAAGUUGUGUAAUUUAGUUUAUUUUCAACUUGUUGCUUAUGCAUUUGAAGUAGUUAGGUAGUAUUGAGCUGAUAAAUCAGCUUGUCAAAGUGUACAAGAAAUGUUUUAACAAGUUUCAAUGUUGUUUAGUGGUGUUGGUGGAUGUUUAGGUGAAAUUUGUCUAUUUUGACCAGCUUAUGUCUGGUAUAUGUAAUGGCUUUUAUGCCAAAGUUCUUUUUUAAUGAAAAUUUAUCAGAUUUUUCAUUCAUAUAUACUCCAUUAUUUUUCUUGUUUUUCGAUUCUGUUCUUGUUUCUAAGAAAAUUUUUGCUUGUUUCUUCCACAAGCCACGAGCCUUGUUGCUCAAGACUCAGGUUUGGCUAAGUUGCUUUGUUUCUUAAACCCCAACAAUUGGUAUCUAGAGCCUUUGUCUUAGUGGACCUGUUGUAACUGAAUCUCAAAGUUAUGGCUUCAUCAAGCUUUUCUCCUACAGCACCACCAGAAUUCAAUAGAGAAGGCUUUCAUAUAUGGGUGGUUAAGAUGAAGACUUAUCUGCAGGCCUUUGAUCUGUGGGAAGUUGUAAACACGGAUGUUGAGCCAGCUCUACUCAGAGCCAACCCCACAGUGGCUCAGAUCAGGCAGCACGUAGAUAAGAGGACCAAGAGGCACAAAGCCAUGUCCUACAUUCAGAACUGUGUAUCAGAUGUCAUGUUCACAAGGAUUAUGGCCUGUGAAACACCAAAGUAGGCUUGAGACAAGCUUAAGGAGGAGUUUCAAGGCACUGAAAGGACAAGGCAGUAGCAGCUGUUAAACCUGAGGAGAGAUUUUGAGAAUUUGAAGAUGAAUGAGGAAGAAACAGUAAAACAGUACUCAGACAGAAUUAUAGUUGUGGUAAACAGCAUAAGGCUCCUUGGAGAGCAACUUAGUGAAGCAAGGAUAGUGGAGAAAGUGAUCUCAACCUUACCUAAAAGGUAUGAGGCAAAAAUAUCAUCCCUCGAAGACUCAAGGGACCUAACUAGCAUCUCAUUGACAGAGCUGGUCAAUGCUCUCUAUACACAAGAGCAAAAAAGAGCUAGUAGACUGGAGGAGCACCAAAAGGGUGCCUUCCAAUCCAAAACCAAGCCUGCCUCGAGCACCAUUACGUACAAAGGCAAGAAGACUUGAAGAGACAAGCCUAAGUCAGAUGCCCCAAAAAGAUGGGAUAGACCCUACAGGCAUUGCAAAAGGCCUAGUCAUCUAGAAGCAAAUUGCUAGUUUAGACCAGAUGUGCAGUGCCAAUACUGCAGGAAAAUGGGCCAUGUUGAAAAGGUCUGCAAAAACAAAGGCAAACCAAGGCAAGGUCAGCCACAAUAGCCAAAGGCUGAGGCUCGAGCAGCUAAAGAAGGUAGUGACCAUGAGGAGCAGGUCUUUGCAGUCUCCUGUUCAGCUGCUCAAGAGAAAAUCUCAAAUAGAUGGCUCUUAGACAGUGGCUGUACUAACCAUAUGUCACCAGAUGCUGCCAUUUUUAAGUCAUUAGACAGAAGCUACAAAACCAAAGUAAAGGUUGGCAAUGGGCACUUUAUCAAGGGAGAAGUUAAAGGGGAUGUGUUGAUAUGCACUCCCACAGGUAACAAGCUCAUUCCAAAUGUGUUAUUUGUGCUUGAAAUUGAAAGAAACUUACUUAGCAUAGCUCAGUUGCUUGAGAAGGGUUAUACUAUUGUGUUUAAAGGCAAACAGUGCCAAAUUAGUGAUCCAAGUGGAUUUAUGCUCAUGUCAGUCACUAUGGCUGAUAAAAGUUUUGUUGUUGACUGGAAUCAAGCUUCAAUCUCAGCUUAUACAGCUUCUCUUGAUGAAUCCAAGCUUUGGCAUCAAAGACUUGGUCAUGCCAACUAUAGAUCGAUGGGCUAGCUAACUAAACAGGAUCUAGUUGAAAACUUCAUCAACUCAGUUGAGAAGGAGGAUGUUUGUGAGGUGUGUCAGCUAGGAAAAUAAGCCAGGCUUCCAUUUCUAUCAAACAAGCCCUGGAGGGCCUCAGAAAAGCUACAACUUGUGCACAUAGAUGUGUGUGGCCCCAUGAAGACUCAGUCACUAAAUGGCAGGAGGUAUUUCAUCUUUUUUAUUGAUGAUCAUUCAAGAUUUUGCUGGAUUUACUUCUUGAAGCACAAAUCAGAAGUGGCCUCAGUGUUCUGGAAGUUCAAAGCUGCUGUUGAGACUGAGACAGGCUGCAAGUUUAAGACUAUAAGGUCUAAUAAUGGAACUGAGUAUACCUCAGCUCAGUUUCAAGCCUUUUGUGAUGAAGCAGGUAUCAAACACCAACUCACCAACACUUAUACACCUCAACAGAAUGGUGUAAGUGAAAGAAAGAACAUGAGCUUGAUGGAUAUGGCUAGGUGCUUACUGUUUGAGAAGAAUUUAGCCAAAACCUUGUGGGUUGAGGUAGUCAACACUACUGUGCAUUUACAGAAUAGGCUUCCAACUAAGGCUUUGGCUCACAAAACACCAUUUGAGGCCUGGUUCGGGUUCAAGCCAUCAUUGGCUCGUUUGAAAGUCUUUGGUUGCAUUGCUAUGCACUAGUACCAGCUGUAAAAAGAGGCAAGCUGGAUAAGAAAUCUCAAACAGACAUUUUAGUAGACUAUAGCACAGCCAAGAAGGGCUAUAGGAUCUUGGAUCCUUCAACAAACAAAGUGCUAGUGAGCAGAGAUGUUGUGUUCAAUGAAAAGGAAAGUUGGAAUUGGGAGAAGAAUGAGCCAGAGGCAGUUUCUAAAGACCUUGUGGCUGAUCAGACUGAGCCUGAUGAAAAUGGUCCUAAAGAGGACAUUGAUGAUGAACCAGUCAGGGGCACUAGACUGUUGACUGAUAUUUAUGAAAGGGCUCAAGUAGCCAUAGUUGAACCAAGCUACUUUGAAGAGGCUGAGAGUCAUGAAGCCUGGAAACAAGCAAUGGUUGAUGAAAUCAGCAUGAUUGAAAAGAACCAAACUUGGGAAUUGUUUGAAAAACCAGCCAACAAGAAGAUUAUUGGUGUAAAAUGGGUCUAUCGAGCUAAACAGAAUGCUGAUGGUAGCUUGAACAAACUAAAAGCUAGGCUUGUAGUGAAGGGGUUUAGCCAAAAGUAUGGCUUGGACUAUCUGGAAACCUUUACACCAAUGGUCAGGCUUGACACCAUCAGGUUACUAGUUGCCUUAGAAGCACAAAUACAGUGGAAAAUCCACCAACUUAAUGUGAAGUCAGCAUUUUUAAAUGGACUCCUUGAAGAAGAGAUUUAUGUUGAGCAACCUCAAGGCUUCAAAGUGGCAGAUAAAGAAGAUAUGGUGUAUAGACUGAAGAAAGCCUUAUAUGGCUUAAAACAGAUACCAAGGGCCUGGUAUAGCAGGAUCGGCAGAUACUUGGUCAGUUUGAGAUUUGAAAGGAGUACUAGUGAGCCAACAUUGUAUGCUAAAAAGCAAGGAGUUGAGACUCAGCUCAUUGUAUCCCUAUAUGUUGAUGAUCUAUUGGUGACAGGAGGAGACCAAGCAGUGUUGACUGAUUUUAAAGCCAAAAUGGAGCUACAGUUUGAGAUGUCUGAUCUUGGAAGAAUGACCUAUUUUCUUGGUAUAGAGGUGUCACAAACUAAAAAUGGAAUAUUCCUAAUCUAGAAAACCUUUGCCUCCAAAAUUCUAACCAAGUUCACCAUGAAAAAUAGUAAAGCAACAAGCACUCCUAUUGCUAUGGGAGAAAAGCUAUCAAGCCAAGUCAUUUCUAAACAAGUUAGUGAAUCAGUAUAUAGGAGCCUAGUUGGUUGUUUGCUAUACCUGACUGCCACUAGGCUAGACAUCAUUUUUUGUGUAAGCUUACUCUCGAAGUUUAUGCAUUGUUGCAACAAAAAGCAUUUUCAAGCAGCAAAAAGGGUGCUCAGGUACAUCAAAGGUACCCUGAGUUAUGGAAUGCUGUAUAGCAAGGCUGAAAACCUUAGAUUGGUUGGCUAUACUGACAGUAACUAGGCUGGUUCGAUGGAUGACAUGAAGAGCACCUCAGGAUAUGUUUUUACCCUUGGCUCAACCAUCUUUUGUUGGAGUUCGAAGAAACAAAAUGUAGUUUCUUAGUCAACUGCUGAGGCAGAGUAUGUUGCAGUUGCUGAAGCUGUUAACCAAGCUAUAUGGCUAAGAAAAAUCUUGGCUGAUCUGAAUCUACAUCAAAAGGGAGCAACAGAGAUAAAAUGUGACAACAAAUCUGCUGUUGCAAUUUCAAAGAAUCCGAUUUUUCAUGGAAGAACUAAGCACUUCAGUAUUAAGCUUCAUGUUGUUAGAGAAAUGGAGCAAGCUCAAGAGAUAGAACUAGUUCAUUGCAAUUUAGAAGAUCAAAUUGCUGACAUCUUGACAAAACCCCCCAGUUUGGCAAGGUUCAUCAAGUUAAGAAGGCAAAUGGGAGUAUGCAACAUGCUAGCCAAGGAGGAGUGCUGAAGUUGGCCAGCAUGUGGCACAAGGACCAGCAAGCAGCAGGCCAUACAGUUCGAGCCAAGCAGAUACAGUUGAGGAAACUGUUUCUUUUAGUUCAUUUUGUUACACUUAACUUGUUGCUAAUGCAUUUGAUGUAGUUAGGUAGUAUUGAGCUGAUAAAUCAGCUUGUCAAAGUGUACAAGAAAUGUUUUAACAAGUUUCAAUGUUGUUUAGUGGUGUUAGGUGGAUGUUUAGGUGAAAUUUGUCUAUUUUGACCAGCUUAUGUCUGGUAUAUGUAAUGAAUUUUAUGCCAAAGUUCUUUUUUAAUGAAAAUUUAUCAGAUUUUUCAUUCACAUACGCUCCAUUAUUUUUCUUGUUUUUCUAUUCUGUUCUUGUUUCUAAACAAGUUUCUGCUUCUUUCUUCCACAAGCCACAAGCCUUGUUGCUCAAGACUCAAGUUCAUCUAAGUUGCUUUGUUUCUUAAACCCCAACAGGUUGGGUUAAAUUUAAAGUGUGUGGUGUGAAGAUUGAGGGUGAAGCAGGGUGUGGAGGGGUGUUAAGAAAUUUAGAAUGGGUGGCAAGGGCAGUGUUUUCAGGUCCAUGUGUAGUGAAAGAUUCAUAUGCCGCAGAGGUGGGGGCGAUUAACUUAGCUUUGGAUGUGUUUCUAGAGAUGAGGUGGAAGGGUAGGUGUUCUUUAAUUAUCGAGGUUGGUUCCACGGAGGUGUUUAGCUGGGUUGUGAACAAAGGUUCGAGACCGUGGUCGCUAUUCUCUUUCUUUAAGGAAGUUGAUUUCAGGUUGUCUAGUAUUGGGAAUGUAUCCUUUUCAAGGGUGGACAAACACAGUAAUGCGAUGGCCUUUGCACUGGCGGUUGUUGGUUUGAAAAGGUAGGGUAUGUUUAAUGCAUGGUGGUGAUCUUAGUGUGUUGCUCUAGGGUGUUUGCAGGUGUAAUUGCUGGCUGUUUUGUGGUUGUAUGGGGUGUUUUGUGCAGGUUUUUUUUUUGUUUUGUGGUCCGUUUAUCAGAGAUGGUUUUUUUUGUUUGGUUGUGGGGGGUUUGUUUGCUGUGCUGUGACUGUGUUUCGGAUUAUGUUCUUUGGCGGGGUUUGUUUUGUUCUUGUUGUAUGUUUUGCUUUACUUCAGCUUUGAUUGCUGUUGGUUUUGAUCAAGCAAAAAAAAAAUUGUUUUAGUUAUACCCUUAACCACUUGUCUAGAAAUUAAUAUCAACUUUAUUAAAAGCAUUCUUCAUUUGUUUACAUGAGUUUUUAAAUUAUUUUUGGGUAACACGGUUCGCAUUUAUGCCAAACAGUUAUUCGAUACAAUAUAUUAAUCUUCUUACCAUAUGUAUCUAUGAGUUAAAACAUAAGUGUCAUUUAUUAAUUUAUCAUCUUACCCUUAACAUAUUUUUUUAUAUAGUCUAAAAUAAAAUAUAAAAUAUUAGUAUUUAUAAAAUAUUUACAUUAAAAUAUAAUAAAAUAACAAAAUAAAAAAUAUUAUAACAAUUAAUUUUAUAAAAUAUUAAAACAAUAAAAUAAAAUUAUUAUUGUUUAAAAAUAAUAUAAUAAUAUUAUUACUUUUUAAAAAAUAAUAAAAUAAAAAUAUUAAAAAAUUAGUUUUUAUAUUAAUAUUAAUAUAUUAGUGUAAAUAAUAAAAAAUUGUCGAUUUUAAAACUUUUUUUAUUUUAGAAAAUAAACUUAGUCUAUUUUCAAAAAGACAUAUGAGUUAAUAAAAAUUAAUUUAUUUUUAACAUAUUUCAUGUAAGGGUGUCCAUCUUAGUUAAUUUAUUAUCUUUCCAAAACUUAUUUUCAACUUUAACCGUGAAAAAGUUAUAUUAAUGUGAUUUAAUAAAAACCAUGCUUCAUACAUAAUUAAAUAAAAAUCCAUAUUCUAAUAGCCUAAAUGAUUUAAAUGUCAAGCAUGCCUAAGUAAAAAUAGUAAGCUAAGUCUACUAACACAAUUCAAAAUAAAAUAUUACAGUCUUUAAAAAAUAAUAAUAUAUCAAAUAGUAACUUAAGAAUAUUUAAUAAAAUCGAGCCAAACACCUCCAAAUGCCAAGUCCGUGUCCUAACCUUGCAGGUUAUCUAAAAAGAUGCGAAUAAAAAGGGAGUGAGCUAUGAAGCUCAGUGUGAGUUCUAUCACAAGACAAAUCGGUGCAAACUGUAGACACAUCAUACAGAAAAUCAAUUCAUAAAUUAAAUCACAUUUACUUAGUCAAAUUGAAUAUUGGUAAUUCAUAUUGGGUGAGCGUUCGAUCGAAUCGAAUCGAAUCGAAUAAAAAAUUUUGAGUUAAUCGAGUUGACGAAUAAUAUUUUAUCAUCCUAAUUUGAUUUGAAAUUUUCUCGAAUCGAGUCGAGUGAGAUGAAAUUCGAAUCGAAUCGAAUCGAAUAUAUUUAUUCUAGUUAAAUUUUAAAAAUAAUUUUUGGUCCUUGUAACCACUAUCACCCACCGUAAUAAAAUUUGUUCACCGUAAUCAAUUUUUUUAUUAACUUUCAUCAACUCAUAAUUUAUUUAUUAAUCUUUUAUAUACAAGUUAGCUUCUUUGCUUACUUAGCUAUUUCAAUUAUCUUCAGAGUCUUGUCCCUAUGUAUUUUGGAAUUAAAAAAUAUAUUAAAAGUAAAAAUGUGAUUUUUUUAAUAAAAGUUACUUUAAAGAUAAAAUGUGAAAUUGAUACCAAUAUAAAAUUUUAACACGAAUGUUUUAUGACAUCAUUAAUAAUUAAAUUUUAAUAUAAAUAUUCAAUAUGACUAAACAAUUCAAUAAUAUAAAUAAUAUAAAUGUGAAAUUUAAUUUAAAAUAUAAAUAGUAGAUAUAAAUAAAAUUAUUACUAUUUAUAUUUAGGGAUUUUGUUUGGAUAAUUUUUAUUUUUUAUUUUGGGAAUAAAGGGUGAGAGGUAAAAGUUUAAAAGGAAAAUAAAAAGUUUUGGGGAGUAAAAAUUUGAGGGAAAGUAAAUAGGAGAGAGUAAAAUUUUGGAGGGAAAAUAUUAAUAAAAAAAUUAGGGGAGGGGGAUGAAUUUGGGGUAGAUGAGGAUCGGAGGGAAGUAAAAGUUUUAGGGGAAAAUGGAAAGGAGUAAAAAAUAUGGGGAAAAAUAAAAAGUUUUGAGGGUUUUUGGGAGUAAAAUUUUGAAGAAAAGUAAAUGGGAGAGUAAAAUUUUGGUGGGAAAUGGAUUUUGGGUAGAUGGCGGGUUAGGAUGGGAAGGGAGUAAAAGUUUUGGGGGGAAAGUGGGAAGGAGUGAAAGUUUUGGAGGGAAAGUGGGAAGAAGUAAAAGUUUUGAGGGAAAAGUAAAAAGGUUUGGAAGUUUGGGGUAAAAAUGUAAAAUAUUAUAGUUUGAUAUUUGAUUUAUUCGAAUUAUUCGAGUUAUUCGAAUUCGAAAACUCAACUCGAUUCGAACUCAAAAUUCAAAAAAAAGAAUUCGAGUUGACUCGAACAACUCGAUUCGUUUAACUCAAAAUUCAAAUUUUUUUCAAUUUUUUCGAGUUGAAUCGAGUUUUGCUCACCCCUAAUUCAUAAUACUAAUCAACAGAACAAUUCAAUGUUCAUAGCCAUGUAAUUGCUUAUGAAUGCAAUGCAAGUUCGGUUUAAUAGGCGAUUGCCAACUAGAAUAUGUUGUGGAACUCCUCUACCUUCACACCACGUUGUGGAUAAACCACUUAUCAUUGCGGGUAAUUGCUAACGAUAAGAUGUUAGUGGAUGAACCAUCCGUCGAUGUAGAUAAAAGUUGCUAGUACAUUGUGGAUGAACCACUGGUCGAGUAGGCAAUUACCGACUAGAAUACGUUGUGGAUAAAUCAAUGGUCGAACAGAUAAACUGUCGACUACUUCCUCCAUUCAAAUCGUCCCACCCAUGCAAUGCAUCAAGACAUGUUAUACAGUUCAAUAUGGUAGCGAAUAGUUUGAUUUUAACAAAUCAAUUCAAUGGCAAAAGUCAUGCUUACUAGGCGUUCAAUUUAACGGUAGCAUAAGGCAUGCUUAUAACAUAUUGAAAUAGAAACGGUUAACAUACUUAUAAUAGCUCCAAUAUAGCAACAAUAUUUAUGUUCUCAACUAAUUGAUGCAGUAGCCAAACAUAUACUUUUCAAAAAGAAUCCAAUCUAGCUGUAUCUUAAAACAUAUUAUAUGAACAUUAACAAAUACAGAUUCAAUCAACACAAUUAUACACAAUUUAUGCAAGUAUAAAUUAAUAAACAAAUAAUUCAGUCAAUUAGGGCGUGUAUUCUAGCAUUAUUUAUAUUAUCAAGGGCUUAAUUGAAUAAAUUAAACACUAAAAACAAUUUGGGAACCAAUUAGGGACUAAUUUGUACAGUUUCUAAACUUUUCGGUUAAAACUGUAAAAUUAGGUUCCAGAGGACACAUGACUAUGUGGGUCACAUGGUCAUGUGGUCAUGCCAUGUGGUUUAGGUUGGGUUCAAUUUUGCCCCGAUUUUCUCAUAAAAAAACACAAUCUGAUUUCUGGGGAAACGAUUUAUUAAGGUGGUGUUGAAGGUGGAGUUGUGUGCAUGGGAAACAAUUCAUUCAGUAAGGUAAUCAAUAUUGGUAUUGUUAAAAUUAUGAUGUACGAUAGGAUGAUUAGGACAUUCUCAGAUGUCAGGUAUGUACCUGAUUUACGAAAGAAUCUCAUCUCCUUGAGUAUUUUAGACUCAAAAGGUUGUAGAAUAAACAUUGAGUCAAGUGACAUUACGAUGUCUCGUGGGGCUCUCGUUUUAUUAAAAGGUAAAAGGACCAACAGUCUUUAUAUUCUAGAAGGUUCUACAGUGAGCAAUGAAACCAGGCAUCCUUCGAUCAUUAUGGAGUCAAAGUCAACUCAUUUGGAGUGGAGAAAAGUUGGUCAAAUAAGGUAAAAAUGUAUGAUCGUUUCAUUGAAGAGAGGUUCUAUUUUGGGUGCAAGUUUUGAAAAGUUAGGUCACUGUAUUCGUGAAAAUCAAAUAUGUGUUAGUUUUGAUUUGGUAGUGAGCAAGUCGAAGGCUAGAAGUCUUCCAGCUUCUAAGCACAUAUUCGACUCAGUUAAUUCCCUGCAUAGUUUAAAAUAAGCCCGUGGUAGGUUUUGGAAAAGAUAACGUUAUGGAAAUACGAGUUAAGGUGGAGAUUUAUUGCCAAAGUUGGUUGUAAUAUCAUUGGAUAUUUCUUCUGGACAUCUUCUAGACAGCUUUUUUUCCAUAAAGUAUGGAGUUUUGAUGUUUGCUUUGGCAUGCGAAUUGGAAAAUUUGUAACUUGGCGAAUCCCAAGAUUUUUGAGAAUCAAGAAGUCUGUAGAUGCAUGGAAGCAACUAUUUGAAGAUGUAGAAUCUGUUGUACUGAAUGAUGUGGUGGGUCACCCAAACCUUGUUCCAAGCUUGGAUUUGGGAUUUAGAAAGUUGACUUCUCUAGAUCUUUACUUGUGCGACUCUAUGCAAUGCCUAAGUGAUGCAUCAAAGCAAUAGGUGCCAAUGAUUGCAUUCUCUAAUUUGAGAAAGUUAUCAUUAAGUCUUAUGUUUGAUUUGGAAGAGAUGUGCAAUGUUCCCCAGCUGCAAGGUUUUUUACAAAAGCUUGAAGAGGUUUAAGUUGAAAGUUGUUAUAAUAUGCAAGUUUUAUUUCCGAUUGUUGAAUUGAGGAGCAUAGAACAAAAAGGGCACAGUCGUCAUUUAAGCCUCAAAAGUCUGAAGAUUGUUGAAAUAGAGAGAUGCAAUAAUUUGAAAUAUAUGUUUGUUGCUAACAGCCUUGGGCAAUUGCAUACUUUGAAAAUAAAGAGCUGCUCGCAAUUAAAAGAAAUAAUCUAAGACUCAUAAGUGCCAAAAAUAAGACUCCAAAGUCUAAAAGAAGUAAAAGUUGAAAAAUGCGAUAAGUUAAAGUAUCUCUUUCGUCUUUCUGUUGAUAAUGGUCUUGGACAAUUGCAUACUUUGGAGAUAAAGAGUUGCUCGCAAUUGGAAGACAUAAUCCAAGGCCCACAACUGCCAUAUGUAAGCCUCCAAAGUUUAUGGGAAGUAAAAGUUGAAAAAUGUGAUAACUUAAAGUAUCUCUUUCCACUAUCUGUUGCUAAUAGUCUUAGACAAUUGCAUACUUAGAAGAUAAAAAGUUGCACUCAAUUGGAAAACAUAAUCCAAGACCUGCAAGUGUCAUACAUAAGCCUCCAAAGUUUAAGGGAAAUAAAAGUUGAAAAAUGUGAUAAUUUAAAAUAUCUCUUCCACUAUCUGCUACUAAUACCCUUGGGCAAUUGCAUACUUUGAAAAUAAAGAGUUGCUCGCAAUUGGAAGAUGUAAUCCAAGACCCACAAGUGCCAUACAUAUGUCUACUCCAAAGUCUAGGGGAAGUAUGUGUAUCUCAUUGCAAUAACUUGACAUCUCUUUUCCUUAUUGUCCUAUGGUGAAAGAUUGAGAAAUUUGAUUGUGCUUUUCAUUUCAGGUUUCAUUGAUUGAUUUGCCUCAAUUGAAAGGAAGGGAUGUGAAUGAUAUCAUGCUCACACAAUUGUCUUUGCGGAAGUUAGAAGUGAACAAUUGUCUUCAAUUGACACUUUUUAUUAUUUAGACUCAGAUACAAGUAAGAUUUAUUUUUGUUAUAUAUUAUUUAUUUAUUAAUUUAUUUCUUUUUUUUCUUUAAUAAUUCGUUGUCUGAAAUCAGCAAACCAUUGUAUAGUUGUUUAAAUGAUAAAUUUUAUUUUAUAAUUUUGUUCUGAAACUAAUCUACAUAAUCUUUUAAACAACUUAGUUUACUAUAAUACCAUUUAAUAAGAUAAAUAAAAUUUCAAUAAAAAAAAUAUUAAACAAACUUUAUGUUUUAGAUAUGUUGCAAAUUCUUUAUCAAAUAUUAAAUAAACUAUAUAAAAUUGUAUUUAAGUUUUUCUUAUUUAAGAGUGAAAAAUAAUUAUGGGUAGUUUUAUUUAAUUUAAUUUUUUUUAAAAAGGUAACUUUUUACGUAGGUGGUUUUUUUUAAAUAUAUAUAUAUUAAAAAUAAAAGACAUAAAUAAGGUGAUAAUAUUAUUAAUUAAUUUAUAAAAAAUGAGUUUAAAUAAAUUCCCAAUUGAGUUGCUAGAGCUGUCAAAUAAUUUAUAUAUGUUUAGAUUAUGUGAUAUUAUUUAUGUCUUAUUUUUACCAUAUUUUUGUAGUAUAUCUCCAUUUAAGGCAAAAUUUUGUUAAAAUAAAAUUUAUAUAAGGAAAUUAAUUAAUAAAAUGAUAAGUUUGAACAUUUGAAAUUGGAAAUUGAUGAUACGUUUAUAGAAAUUAGUGCUCGGGAGGAUGACGUAUAAGCAGUUGAGCAAUAUAUGUAAAUAUGAGGAAUUGGAGCAGAAUCAAACGUCAUCACAUCAUCCCUUACCUAUUUGCUCCCCAAAUUUGGCUGUAAUUGUUAUCUUGGAAUGUGAAAGUUUGAAAUAUCUCUUUCCAAUUACUAUUGCUCAUGCCGACCCUAAAAUGCUAAAUGUGCCCAAUUUACAAACGCUAAAGAUAGAGAAGUGCUUUGGAUUGGAAGAAAUAAUCUAAGACCCUCAAAUAUCAAUCAUAAGCUUUCAGCGCUUAAGGAAGUACAAGUUACAGAAUGUAAUAAUUUGAAAUAUCUCUUUCCAAUGCCUGCUUCUAAUAACCUUAGGCAAUUACAAACCCUGAAGAUAGAGAGGUGCUUUGGAUUGAAAGAAAUAAUCUAAGACUCACAAAUAUCAAACAUAAGCUUUCAAUGCCUAAGAGAAGUACAAGUUACAGGCUGCAAUAAUUUGAAAUAUCUCUUUCCAAUGUGUGUUGUUAAUAGUCUUGGACAAUUGCAGACUCCAAAAAGAGAGGUGCUCCCUAUUGCAAGAAAUAAUCCAAGGACCAGAAGUGUCAAUCUCAAUGACUCAUGGCCUACCACUAUUGAAUGAAGUUGCGUUGGAUAAUUUGCCUCAAUUGAAAGGAGGGAAUAGAAACGACAUUGUGCUCGCAUCACCAUCUUUGCACAAGUUAAAAGUGAUGGGUUGUCCUCAAUUGACACAUUUUAUCAUUUCAACUAAUAUACAUGUAAGAUAUUCUUAUAUAUAUAUAUUAUUUAUUUAAUUCUUCAUCUUUUUGAUAAUUUGUUGUUUAAAAUAAGUAAAUGCUUGUAAAACUCUUUAAAAGAUAGUUUUCAUUUUAGAAUUUUGGUUUAGAAUUAUGGAUAUAAUCUUUCAAGUCUGAAGAUCUUAAACUUGUCCACACUAAUUGAAUUGCAAGUGAUAUGGAAUGGUCCCAUCCAAGUUGGAAACUAUCAAAAUCUCACUGAAUUGGAUGUCAAAGAUUGCAAAAGGUUAAGAUACAUCUUCCCACUUACCAUGGCUCGAAAUUUGCCACAAUUAUGGAGGUUGGAUAUAUCUGACUGCGAGGAAUUGGAGCAAAUAAUCGAGUAGGAUCGAACUUCAUCACAACUUCAUCUCCAAGCUGUUUGCUUUCCAAAUCUGAUUUGGAUUACAAUUAGGAACUGUGAAAAUUUGAAAUGUCUCUUCCCAAUUACUCUUGGUCAUAGCAGCCUUCAAAAACUGGAAAAUAUAAUCUUUGGGAGGGUUUCCAAAUUAGAACAGGUGUUUGAAGGAGAUGAGCCAAAUGUGAGUAAGGAGGAAGAGAAAGUGAUACACCUCCUUCGAUUAACCGACUUACAGCUUGAUGGGCUACCAAACCUCGUGAGCUUCGGCGCUGUGGGUUAUCAUUUUGUUUUCCAAUCUUUGUUGAUUUUGCGAGUAGUAGAUUGUCCCAACAUAACCACAAGAUUUAGUUUUGAUUCGGAGAAAUCAGUGCAUGCCAAAACACAGGUACACUACUCUUCCAAACUCAAUAAUAAGCUUUAAAACAAAAUUGAUAUGUUGGCUGACAAUAUUUUCAGUUUUGGAAAAGUGUCUUUGCUUUCUUCAUCAUCAAUCAUCAGAAGCAAACAGUAAUAAAUCAAGGUUUAAUUUGUUUUGCAGGCAUGCCACUUAGUUGAUGAAAUUAUAGUGGAGGAAUCUGCUACAGCCCAAGAAACUAGAUGGCCAAUUGGUAGUGAUAUACAUUGGUUGAAACAUAUUUAAAGAUGGUGGAAUGAAAAAGUCACUGCUCUAGUAGAGCUUUCUGAAUAGGAAAAUGAAUGGAGAAGUAAAUGAAGUCAGUUCUAUUUAAGGAGUUAAUUUCAAAACUCAUCAUUGUGAAUGUUUAAAUUGAAUGCCAUUUAUCCGUUAAGUCAUACAUACCACCUACUUUUUCUUUUUCUUGUGAGAGAAGACAAAAUUAUUGAGCUGUAAGAAAAGAACAAAGUGAUGCAUAUGUGAAUUCUGCUAAUUAAUCUGAAAUUUAUUGAGCUGUAAGAAAAGAACAAAGUGACGCAUAUGUCUUACCCUUCAGCAUCUGAAUAAUAUAUACUUAUCUAGAAAUAAAUAUCAACUUUAAUAAAAGCAGUACAAAAAUGGUAGCCAUAUAAACUCUUAUCAUAUAAUUUUAAUUUAUGAAACUCCUUGAUUUUGAUAUUAAAAUAAAAUUAAUUUUAAAUUUUAAGUUAAUUUACAUUUUAUGCAAAGGUGAAUUCGGAGGAAAUAGUUUAAAUAUAGAUGAACUUUCCAUCCCACCGAUAGCCAUUGUCUUUACAAAACAAUUGCCCCCACCCCACUAACCCAACGUUGGAUGGGACCUCAGCAAUCUCCGUAAACUCCAGGGGCGUAUUAGGGUUUCCGCGUUAUUUAAAUUGGAGAAUUUUCUAUUUAGUUGUUUUAAAAUUUUAAAUUAAUAAAAGUAGAAAUAUAUUUUUUUAUUUUUAAAAUAAUUAAAUUUUAAUUUAACCCUAUAAAAUUUAUAAAAAUAUAAAUUAUUUAAAUAAUAAAAUUAUAUUUUUAUUAUUAUAAAAAUUAUAAUUUAAUUUCAACCAUCUAAAAAAUUUUCUGACUUUAUCGACCAUAAAGUCAAUUGUCGAUCUCUGCAAGUUUCUCAGUUUUUUAUAAAAUUGAUGCAAUUGCAGUGAGAGAUAGCUUCUCAAAUUUCAAGAAUAAAAGUAUUCAGAUCGUGAAUGAUAAUUUUGUAACUUAGCUUUUUAAAAGUGAUGCAUUAAUUAUAUAUUAUAUAUAUUAACUCAUAACUAAAUAAUAAUAGUUAACAUAUUUUCAACUUUUGUUAAAGCUCAAUUUUGUUGAAGAUGUCCAAAUCCACAAUUUCAACAUUGGAAUUUUUUAACUAAGGUGUACUCAGUUCAUUUAUAUUCACGAACAAACUUGUUUAUUGACUUGUUUAUAAGUUCGUUUAUUCAAUCGUUUAAUUAUUAAUGAUAUUUUCUUAUAAAAAUAUAAAGCUGAAAAUGAACAAAGCAUUCGAUGAACAUGUUUGUGUAUAUGUGUUUGUAUUUAUUAUUUGUUUGUUUGUUUGUUUGCUUGUUUAUUAUUUAUUAACAUUGUUCGUUCAAUUAUAUGCUAACGAACAUGUUUGUUUAAUGUUUGUGAACAUGUUUGAUUAAAUUAAAUGAACAUGUUUGUGAAUAUUAAACAAAUGAACAUGAACACACAUACUUUUAAAUAAAUGAACAUAAACAAAAAUUUGAAAUUCUUAACGAGCACAAAUUACAAACUUAAAAUAAACAAACGAACAUGAACAAAGAUUUGUUCGUUUAAACACGGUUCAUUUACAACCCUAAUUGGAAACAGUUUCCAAUGAAAGAAAUCAAUUAUUGAAAUUUGAAGGAAAAUAUGAGAGCAUAGAUUUAAUAUUUUCCAAUUGUGCUUAAAAGCUGGAGAAAAAAUAUAACCCAAAGACUUUCAUUUUUUUUGUAAAAAAGGAAAAAGCAUGGGGACAUUUUGUCAAAAAGGAAAAAGCAUGGGGACAUUUUUUUAAAAGGGAAAAAGCUGUAACACCCCAAACCCGGCCUAAACGUUAUGGCCAAGUCUGGCGAUGUCACAAGGAUGAGAUUUUGAAAAUAAAGCUAACUCGAUAAAAACCUUAAGCUUAUAAACCCUUAAUUGCUUUCAUUUAUUUCAAAACUUUUCAAUAGUCGUCUUGCCUUAAAACGUAUCAUUUUAGUAGAAGCUUAGGAAAAUCAUCGUGUUUAAGGAAGACAGUUCGCAUUUUUAGAAAAUCUUUUUUUUUAGGUAAAACCAUCAUAGUAAUAAGCAAGUUAAAUCCAAAAACCUAAAACCAAAACCAAACAGUUUAAAAGAGUCCAGAGAGUCCUAGAAAAUACACCCUUUCAAAUCUCAAUGUCAAAACUUAAAUAAAACCAUAAAACAAAAUAAAACCGUAAUAACGAGUGGUCACCGUCGAGUCCUCUACUGCACCGAUCCACCUAACUCUGUGGAUUACUUGUUCAGAACAAACAGAAAAAGGGUGAGUUUACGAAACUCAGUAAGUAACCCAGCAGAAUUAGACAUACAGUCAUACAAAUUAUCAAACAUCAGACAGAUGCAAAUUAGGGCCCACUCCCAUCUUAGAUACAGAUAUAGAUGUGCAAAUUAGAAUCAGAAAUAAAAAAUCCUACCCCCAUCCUCUAUACACCAUCUCCGACCAUCCCUACACACCAUGUGGAGUUAAAAACACCCACCCAGCCCUACACACCAAAUAGUACCGAUGUGGCCCAUAACAGAUAUAAUGCAGCCAUGCUGCCAGAUAUUAGGCACAAAUUGACUUUCAAAAUACUUCAUCUAGUCCCUAAUAUUAGGUACAGAAAGAUACAAUUACAGAUAAAUAGAAUAACAUACUUAGAUGCUUACAUAUAAGCGUAUAUAGAUAACAAAUAUGCGGAUAAUAAUGCAAGAAAACAUGCAUCAAUCUCCUAAUCAGAUCACAAUAUCAAACGAUUAGAUCAUACAAUUUAAUGUUUAUUUAGACCUUACCGAUCCUACAGCAAACCCACAGUCGUUUGGGACGACCCGUGUAACCCUAAGGAAAAACUCAUAUUAAUGGGCCAACACGUCCAAAUUGGCCUGGCCCGUGUGGAUCACACGGCCUAGCCCAUAAAUCCACAUACCCCUGUGGACUGCCCGUAUGGGCUCACACGCCCAUGUGUCCCACAUGGCUCAAUUUGGUCAAGUCCAUGUAGCUCACACGGCUACACCUCGGCCACCACACGGUCGUGUCUAGCGCACGACCUCACCUUCAUCAACCACAUGGCCUGCCACAUGCCCGUGUGAUGUCGACAGUGGCCUUUUCAGCUUUCAUUGAAACUCAUUUUCUAUAUUUCGAGUACACACCUGGUAUUGUUUUGCAGCGAAAGCACUCCCGAGCUUCCCAAAACCUAAAACCAGAAUAUCCAAUUUCGAUUUAGCAAUUGAUUAAUGGAUUUCGACAAUAAUAAGUUAACAGAAACCCAAGUUACCACCGACGAAAAACCUUCGUUAACACUUGUUAAACCAAAUAAAUGAAUUUUUCUACACUUGUUAAACCAAAGAAAUGAAUUUUUCUACUCGAAACCUUCUCCUACACUAUCAAUUGCAGUAAAAAUCAGAUUCUUAAUUACUUAUUACACAACUAUGACGAACUGAAAUAGAAAACUUACCGAACCCAUACAAGUGUAAUUUCCGUUGUUAAAAGAAAAAACGAAUUAGGGAAACAAAAGGAAAAGGAAGAGAGAAAGUUCCAAGAGAAUUUUGGCAGAGUGAUGGGGGAAACCGAACGUCAGAAAGAGAGGGAUUUUUGAAAAAGAAAAAAAAUACCCCAGACAUGUUAACAAAACCCAAAUCCCUUAGAUUUCUCCCCACUAACCCACUAACACCCAACUUAUCAGAAUUCACAUUCCACCGAAACACUGACACAAAAUCGAGCAAAAAAAUAUCACUCACGCUCGUGCAGGGAUUCGAACACAGGACCUCCAAUACACAGACUCCCUUACCACUCGAACCAGCAGGCUCAUUCUGACAUGGUUUUGAAAAUUAAAUAUAAGCCUACUGAGCAAGGAUAGGUCUUAAGUCAGAAAAAUACCAAAAUUCACCAAAGGUAAGGCAAGGCUUAAACUUGGGACCACUCACACACACUCAGAACACUUAACCACUGAAGCGGAUACAUAUUUGUAUGAAAUAUUCACAGGUACAGAAACAUAAAACUUGAGGCGUUACAACUUUACCUCCUAAAAGAAAUUUCGACCUCAAAAUUUACCUAUUUAGAAUAGAUGAGGAUACUGCUGCAGCAUCGAAUCCUCCAAUUUCCACGUGGCUUUCUCGGUGCCAUGAUUCUGCCAUAGAACCUUCACUAAAGGUAUGGACUUCCUCCUCAGAAUCCUAACAUCUCAAUCCAGAAUUUGAACCAGUUUCUUCUUAAAAGUCAAAUCCAAUCUAACUUCAAUCUCCCCAACAGACACAACAUGAGAUAGGUCAGACCGGUAUUUCCUCAGCAUUGAUACGUGGAACACAUCGUGAAUACGGUCUAUCUCUAGAGGUAGCUCCAACUGGUAAACAACUGGCCUUACUCGCUUCAAAAUUCAAUAUAGUCCAAUAAACCUAGGGCUUAACUUGCACUUACGACUUAACCUCAGAACUUUCUUCCAUGGAGAGUCCUUAAGGAAUACAAAAUCCUCUACAGAGUACUCAAUCUCACAUCUCUUCAGAUCUACAUAUGAUUUUUGCCUAUCAGAAGCCACUUUUAGACGAUCCUGAAUCAGUCAAACGUUAUCCUCUGUAUUAGAAACUAGUUCAGGACCCAAAAUUCGACGUUCACCCAACUCAAUCCAACAUAGUGGAGUACAAUACUUACGACCAUAUAGAGCCUUAUAAGGUGCCAUCUGGAUGCUAGGCUGAAAAUUGUUAUUGUAGGCGAACUCGGCUAGCGGCAGAUAGUCCUCUCAACUACCUCAGAAAUCGAUCACACAACUCCGAAGCAUAUCCUCCAGUAUCUGAAUCACCCUCUCAGAUUGUAACACCCCAAAACCGUGGCCGUCACCGGGAUCGAACACGAGGUGUAAUCUGGCUUUUCAUCACUUAUACAGCUCAAACAAUUUAUUUUAAAACUCCUAGAUAAACUGUCAAUCUGUGUUAUAGUCACUUAAAAAUUUGUAUCUUGAGUUCUGAAACUCGAAAUUUAAUUCCGUAAAUUUUUCCUGAAACUAGACUCAUAUAUCUAUCUAUUAAAAUUUUUCCACAAUUUUUAGUCAGUCCAAUUAAUACAGUUUAUUAGUUAAAGUCUCCCCUGUUUCAGGGUUCGACUACUCUGACCUCUUUGUAUUACGAACCAGAUAUCCCUCUGUACAGAGAUUCAAUGACUAUGUCGUUUGUCCCUAAUAAAACUAGACUCAAUAAGGAAUCUUUACAUAUAAGUUAUGACUUCUAAUUAUCUUUUUAGAAUUUAUGGUGAAUUUCCAAAUUCGGAACAGGGGAUCCAGAAAUCGUUCUGACCCUGUUUCACUAGAUUUUAAAUAUCUCAUACAAUAUAGCUCAUAUUCUUGUUUUACUUCUUCCAUGUGAAAAUAGACUCAUCAAGAUUCGAUUCCAUAAUUUAUUCAUUAUUUAAUUCCAUUUCUACUAUUUUUAGUGAUUUUUCAAUUUCACAUCACUACUGCUGUCUGCAUCUAUUAUUAGAGUAAAUUUUACCUAUUAGAGUAAUUUAACAAACAUAUCACCAAGUAUGAUCAUGACUAGCCAUACCAAAGGCUAAUCAUUACCAAGCAUUUCCUUACUACUCAAUAACUAUAUCGUGAGUGUAACACCGGAAAUGAUUAGCCAUGACAAACGGCAUAAUAAUCAAAUAGACUUUAACUAUUGCUUAUAACUAAGUAUCAUAAGACCAAAUCCAACUUAACAUUUAUGCCAUUUUCGCAUGGCAAAAAGUAUACAUACCAAAGUUCAAACAAACAUAAUAGCCUAUACAUACCGAAAUGUUCUCUUAGACCAACUAAGAAGAAGAUACCAAAAAGUUGCAAGCUGGUGUAAUGACUUCGACGAUGGUCUCGAGCACACAAAAAUGGAUCAAAGGAACCUAAAUAAGUGACAAAUAAACACACCGAAUGAGUAUAUAACUCAGUAAGUCAUAAGCAUUACACUGCUGUCCAUUUAUAAAAUAUCAUAAAAGAAAAUAAAUAAUGCAAGAUUAGGUACUCCAUCCAUACCGACUAUGCUAUAAUUUCACGCACAUUUAUCAUUACAUGCUCUCAACUAGCCAAGCCUCCAUUGACAUCUCGUAUGAUAUUCGAUAUGAUAUUUGAUGCAUUUCCACACAUCAUUUUAUUUUCGUUUAGAUUAUACUAAUAAUAGCAUUUCAUCUAUUCCACAAUAAUCUUAUGUUCCUAACUUCAAAUAUAAUCACCACAUAGGUUCAAGACUUACCAAGCUCAGUUCCAAAUAUAAACAUAACGUCUAUUCCUUAUGAACUCAAAAUAUCUACUCAUUCCGCUGUCCAUGAUUUACUCGAUAAAGUUGCACACUUAAUGUUAAUAAUUAUUCGAAAAUAUAUAGUAAGUCCGCACACUUAGUGCUUAAUAGUCAAACUCGCACACUUAGUGCUAUACAAUUAAACUCGCACACUUAGUGCCAAUCUCAUUAUCGUAAAUGUUUAUACCCGCACACUUAGUGCCGAAAUCAACAACUCAAUACAUCUCACUUCUUUUUACAAUCGAUAAUUUUGUCACUACAUGCAUUUAUAUAUCAUCCCAUUCGGCAUAAGUACAUAAGUUUAUGAUUAUUUAAAUCAAUACAAAAUAUAUGCUUAAUAACUUACCUUGUGUUGGGUAAAACGGUUCUAACUCGGCUACUCGAUGUUCUUUCCUUUGCCUUUGCUUGAUUCUCCUCCUUUAACUUCUUGAGCUUAAUCAAUAAAUUAACUAGUUUAACCGUCUUGCUAAAUAUUUAUAUCAAAAUAUUAAUGAUUUCAUAUCAUAGGAGAUACAUGACUAAUUCUUAUCUUCCUACCAUAUGUUUUUGAGCUAUUCGGCUAAUAACCAUAUGCUAUCACCCUACUAUCAAUAAUCCAAUCACACAUGCAUAUAUAUAUAUGGUCGAAUGUGCAAAGCUUAGACUCAACAUCACCUAUGCUCUUAAUUUGAUGGCCGAAUAUGCAUACAUAUAUAUAUGAUAUCAACUAUACUAUCAUCUUUAAUUCACCUAAACACAAAAUUUCAUCUCAUGAACACUUGACCGAAUUUUUCCUAAUCUAGCAUGGCUUCACAUCUAUUUGUAACAUCCUAUAAAUCCACAUAUACCACAUUUCUACAUAAAUUUUCUUUUACUUUUCCACUACUUCCAUUCACAACAUCAAAAGCACCAUACACUUAGCAUUUACCUCUUCCUAACCAUAUGCCAUCUAAGUACCCUUUUAGGUAGAAAAUUAACAUAUGGGUUGUAAUAAGACAUUGGCUACUAACUAGAUUUUCACAAGAAUUUAGUAAAAGUAACAUAAAUCCUACCUUAAUCAACCCCUUUUGAGUUGGCCGAAUGUCUAGAGCAUUUCUUCUUUCCUUCUCCUAACUCACGGCAAUUGCAAGAAAAGAAAGAAGAUGAAUACUCCCUCUUCCUUCCUUAUUUUAUUCAUCUUUUCUUUUUAAUUCCUUUCUUUAAUUUAUUUUAAUUGCUAACUAAUAAAAGAAUUGCAUUGAAAUUCAACCUAGUGGAUGGGCAUCAUGGCUUGGCCGGCCACUACUUGGGUUUUUGGGCAAUUUGACAUGCAAACCCAAGUUUCCUCACUUUGUUAUUAUUUGGUCCUUACAUAUCCCCCUAUCAUAUUUUCUUAAGUUCUCAACUAAGUCAAUCACAUGAAAUUCACAUUCAUAAGUCUAAAUUAAAACAUCAAAUUUUCACACAUGCACUAAUACUCAUAGAGGAUAUGCAACCAAAUUUUUAAAUAAAUUUUGGGACUCGGUAUUGUGGCCUCAAAACCACAUUCCGACUAGGGUCGAAUUAGGACUGUCACAACUCUCCCUCACUCAAAAAUUUUCGUCCCCGAAAAUCUUACCAGCGAAUAAAUUAGGAUAACGUUCUUUCACCGAAUCCUCGAGCUCCCAAGUAGCUUCUUCGACCCCAUGUUUAUGCCACAGUACCUUCACUAAUGGGAUUUUCUUAUUUCGCAAUUCUUUUACUUCACGUGUUAGAAUGCAAACCGGUUCUUCCUCGUAACUCAAAUCCGAUUGAAUUUCGAUCUCAGUUGGAGUAAUUAUGUGUGAUGGAUCGGACCUAUAUCGUCGAAGCAUCGAGACAUGAAAAACGUUAUGAAUCUUUUCAAGUUCGGGGGGUAAAAUCAAUCUAUAUGCAACUAGAUCAACUCGUUCGGAUAUUUCAUACGGCCCAAUGAACCUCGGACUCAAUUUGCCCUUACGGCCAAAUCUGAGUAUCUUCUUCCAAGGCGAAACUUUUAGAAACACUUUAUCUCCCACCUGAUACUCAAUGUCUUUUCGUUUUAAAUCCGCGUACGACUUCUGACGAUCUGAUGCUGCCUUCAGACUUUCACGAAUUAUUUUUACUUUCUGCUCAGCAUCUUUAAUCAAAUCGACUCCGAAAAUUUUACUUUCACCGAGCUCGGUCCAAAACAAUGGUGUACGGCAUUUACGACCGUACAAAGCCUCGUAAGGUGCCAUCUUAAUGCUUGAUUGAAAACUAUUGUUGUACGCGAAUUCAAUCAAAGGUAAAUACCGUUCCCAUGAACCACUAAACUCAAGGAUGCAACAUCUCAACAUAUCCUCGAGUAUCUGAAUUAUCUGUUCGGAUUAACCAUCAGUCUGUGGAUGAAAAGCGGUGCUAAAAUGCAACUUGGUACCCAAAGCUUCUUGCAAUUUCUUCCAAAAUCGUGAGGUGAAUCUCGAAUCUCUAUCCGACACAAUAGAAAUAGGUACCCCGUGAAAUCUUACAAUCUGAGAGACAUACAAUUCUGCCAAUUUAUCAAGCGAAAAAUCUGUACGGACAGGGAUAAAAUGAGCAGUCUUUGUCAAUCUAUCAACGAUAACCCAAACCGAGUCUUUCUUUUUUUGUGUCAAUGGUAAACCAGAUACAAAAUCCAUUGUUACCCGAUCCCAUUUCCAUUUGGGUAUCAUGAUUGGCUGAAGUAAUCCCGAAGGCACUUGAUGUUCCGCUUUCACUUGUUGACAUAUCAAACACUUCAACACAAAGUCAGAGAUGUCUCGUUUCAUACCAGACCACCAAAACUGACAUUUCAAAUCAUUGUACAUUUUUGUGCUACCCGGGUGGAUAGACAUUCGUCUAUUAUGAGCCUCAUUCAAAAUCAUCAAAAUAAGUUCCGAAUUUCUUGGAACACAUAAUCGACCUUUGAAUGUCAAGCAAUCAUUGUCGUCAAUCCGAAACUCCGAUUCCUCAUUCGAAGCACAUUCAGCUCGUUUAGCAACCAAUUCAUUGUCGACUUUCUGGGAUUCAAAUAUUUGACGAAUCCAUAAUGGUUUGGCCUUUAAUUCAGCUACUAGCACAUUUUCGGGUGAGACGGACAGGUGAACAUUCAUCGCUCUCAAAGCAAAUAACACUUUACGACUUAAAGCAUCGGCAACCACGUUUGCUUUGCCCGGGUGAUAAUCAAUGAUAAGUUCAUAAUCUUUCAACAAUUCAAGCCAGCGUCUUUGUCGCAGAUUCAGAUCUCUUUGAGUCAUCAAGUAUUUAAGACUUUUGUGGUCUGAGUAAAUAUGACACAUUUCUCCAAACAAGUAAUGUCGCCAUAUUUUCAAGGCGAACACUAUGGCCGCUAAUUCAAGAUCAUGGGUCGGAUAGUUUCUCUCAUGUGGCUUUAAUUGUCUCGACGCGUAAGCCACAACUCGACCUUCUUGCAUCAACACACACCCUAGCCCAAGCAAAGAUGCAUCACUAUAAAUGACAAACUCUUUACCGGACUCCGGCUGUACUAGUACUGGAGCUUCAGUUAAACAGGUUUUUAGUCGAUUGAAACUUUCCUGACAGCUUCCUGACCAUUCAAACUCAACAUCUUUUUGAAGUAGUUUCGUCAACGGUGCAGCUAUCAUCGAAAAACCUUUUACAAACCGUCGGUAGUAUCCGGCAAGUCCCAAAAAGCUCCUAACUUCAAUAACAUUCCUCGGAGGUUUCCAAUCGAGUAUGGCCGAAAUUUUGUUCGGAUCAACUCUAAUUCCCGAUGCGGAUACGACGUGCCCCAAAAAGCUAACCUCUCUCAACCAAAAUUCGCAUUUACUGAAUUUCACGUAUAACUACUUGUCUCGUAAAAUCUGUAAUACUAAUCUCAAAUGCUCGGCAUGUUCAGCUUCAUCUUGGGAAUAAAUUAAAAUAUCAUCAACAAACACAACCACAAACUGAUCCAAGUAUUGUCUGAAAAUUCGAUUCAUUAAAUCCAUGAAUAUCGCAGGGGCAUUAGUAAGCCCAAACGGCAUCACUAAGAAUUCGUAGUGACCAUAUCUCAUUCUAAAAGCAGUUUUGGGUAUGUCUGAGUCUCUAACUCUCAACUGAUAAUAACCCGACCUCAAAUCUAUCUUUGAAAACACUGAGGCUCCCUUCAAUUGAUCAAACAAAUCAUCAAUACGCGGUAACGGAUAUUUAUUCUUUAUUGUUACUUUAUUCAACUGACGAUAGUCGAUGCACAACCUCAUGGUUCCAUCCUUCUUUUUCACAAACAAUGUUGGUGCACCCCAUGGUGAAAAACUCGGUCGAGCAAAACCUCUAUCCGUCAAUUCUUGUAACUGAAUUUUCAAUUCCUUUAAUUCCGUUAAUGCCAUACGAUACGGGGUUAUCGAGAUUGGCGUGGUACCAGGUACAAGUUUGAUGCCAAAUUCUACCUCUCGAAUAGCUGGCAACCCCGGUAACUCCUCAGGAAAAACAUCUGAAUACUCGCAAACCACCGGUACCGAUCUGAGUUUCCUUUCCGUCUCUUUGCUAUCAAAUACAUACACAAGAUAUGUUUCACACCCCUUCCUCACAUAUCUCCGAAUGAUCAUCGAGGAUAUUGUUGCUGGCACUCCCCUUAAAUCAGUAGACUCAACUCGGACUAUCUCAUUAUUUGCACCCCUUAAAUCAAUGGUUUUUCUUUUGCAACUCACCACUGUGUCAUAUAUGGUCAACCAGUCCAUACCAAGAAUAACAUCAAAUUCAUCAAAUGGUAAAAGCAUCAAAUCGGCCGGAAAACAGGAUUCUCGGAUCAUUAGAGGGCAUCUCUUACACACUUUGUCAACAAGCGCAUAUUGACCCAAGGGAUUUGACACUCGAAUUACGAACUCAGUAGACUCAAUAGGCAGAGUCUUACUGGAUGCUAAAGUCUCACAUAUAUAAGAAUGAGUAGAGCCAGGGUCAAUUAAUGCAAUUACAUUAGUAUCAAAAAGAGUGAAAGUACCAGUGAUAACAUCAGGGGAGGAUGCUUCCUCUCGUGCACGGAUGGCAUAUGCCCUAGCAAGAGUACGGGUCUCAGAUCGAACAGCCGUAUCAAAAGUCCCUCUCUGACCACCACCCCUGCCUCCUGAAAUUCUCGGUGGUCUACCCAUAACCGUUGUUCCACUAAGUCUUGCACCUUGCAUCUUAUUUCUCUCAUCGAAUUUCGUGCAAUCUCUAAUGAAGUGAUUCUUCGAACCGCAUCUGUAACAGGCCCUGUUAGUGGACUUACCCCAACAUUCACCUAUGUGUCAUCUUCCACAUUGUGGACAUUCAGGUUUUUCUUGGCGAUUGUUACCCACACUAGCAACCGAAGUAGCUCGUGAGUCUGUUAAUGGUUGUGUCCUAAUAAAAAUUCCCGCAGUCGUCUUCGGUUUGUGAGUGUCCUCCCUGAACUUCUUUAUAGCUGAGAACGGAGUUCUACUCGUUGAUCUUUUACGAAAGUCUCUAGCUUCAGAUUCUGCCUUCUUUUUCUCCUUUCCAAGUUCUUCCGCCUUGCAAGCUCGUUCAACUAGUGUUACAAAUUCUUUUAUCUCUAAAAUACCCACUAGUAGCUUUAAAUCUUUAUUCAAUCCUUCCUCAAAUCUUUUGCACAUAGCAAUUUCAUUGGCUACACACUCCCGAGCAUAUCGAAUGAGUCUUACAAACUCACGUUCGUAUUCAGAUACUGUCAUGCGGCCUUGCUUAAGUUCCAAGAAUUCCUUACGCUUUUGAUCGAUGAACCGUUGGCUAAUAUUUUUUUGAAACUCUGUUUGAAAAAAAUCCCAAGUAACUCGUUCCUUCGGGACUAUGGAAAUCAAGGUCCUCCACCAAUAGUAGGCUGAGUCUCGCAACAAAGAUAUAACACACUUUAAACACUCAUCAGGUGUGCAGGACAGUUCAUCAAAAACUCGGAUGGUGUUAUCAAGCCAGAACUCGGCCCUUUCAGCAUCAUCAGUAACUACGGCUCUGAAUUCCUCGGCCCCGCGCUUCCUAAUCAAGUCUACAGGUGGUUACUUGGCCUUACAGGAUCAGUAGUCGAUGGCAUUAUAGGCUCCUGGGGUGGAUUAUUUAAAUUCGGGAAUGGUUGGGCAGCCGGAUUAGUGCGGGCAUAUUGUGCGACCCACUCAUUCAUCAUAGUAAAGAAGGCUUGUUUUGCCCCCUCAUUUUGAUUAUUCGCAGAUGAUUGAGGUUCAACAGGCGGUGUCCCUUGCGCAGGAGCAGCCGCUACACUUUCAACGUCAUCCGCUAAGGUUCUCUCUACGCCGGGAUCCAUUUAAUAAUCAAAACAAAAAUUUUAGCCGUCAGAAGUCAUCACACUAUUAAACACUAACAUUAAGGCAUGUAUAGCUAGACUCAUACGCGCUAUGGUAGUCCUAGAACCGACUAAACCAUAGCUCUGAUACCAAUAAAAUAUAACACCCCAAAAUCGUGGCCGUCACCGAGAUCGAACACGAGGUGUAAUCUAGCUUAAUUCAUCACUUAUACAGCUCAAACAAUUUAUUUUAAAACUCCCAGAUAAACUGUCAAUCUGCGUUAUAGUCACUUAAAAAUUCGUAUAUUGAGUUCUGAAACUCGAAAUUUAAUUCCACAAUUUUUUCCUGAAACUAGACUCAUAUAUCUAUCUACCAAAAUUUUCCCACAAUUUUUGGUCCGUCCAAUUAAUACAGUUUAUUAGUUAAAGUCUCCCCUGUUUCAGGGUUCGACUACUCUGACCUCUUUGUAUUACGAACCAGAUAUCCCUCUGUACAGAGAUUCAACUACUAUGCCGUUUGUCCCUAAUAAAACUAGACUCAAUAAGAAAUCUUUAAAUAUAAGUUAUGACUUCUAAUUAUCUUUGUAGAAAUUAUGGUGAAUUUCCAAAUUCGGAACAGGGGAUCCAGAAAUCGUUCUGACCCUAUUUCACGAGAUUUUAAAUAUCUCAUACAAUAUAGCUCAUAUUCUUGUUUUACUUCUUCCAUGUGAAAAUAGACUCAUCAAGCUUCGAUUCCAUAAUUUAUUCAUUAUUUAAUUCCAUUUUUACUAUUUUUAGUGAUUUUUCAAUUUCACAUCACUACUGCUGUCUACAUCUAUUAUUAAAGUAAAUUUUACCUAUUAGAGUAAUUUAACAAACAUAUCACCAAGUAUGAUCAUGACUAGCCAUACCAAAGGCUAAUCAUUACCAAGCAUUUCCUUACUACUCAAUAACCAUAUCGUGAGUGUAACACUGGAAAUGAUUAGCCAUGACAAACGGCAUAAUAAUCAAAUAGACUUUAACUAUUGCUUAUAACUAAGUAUCAUAAGACCAAAUCCAACUUAACAUUUAUGCCAUUUUCGCAUGGCUAAAAGUAUACAUACCAAAGUUCAAACAAAACAUAAUAGCCUAUACAUGCCGAAAUGUUCUCUUAGACCAACUAAGAAGAAGAUACCAAAAAGUUGCAAGCUGGUGUGAUGACUUCGACGAUGGUCCCGAGCACACAAAAAUGGAUCAAAGGAACCUAAAUAAGUGACAAAUAAACACACCGAAUGAGUAUAUAACUCAGUAAGUCAUAAGCAUUACACUGCUGUCCAUUUAUAAAAUAUCAUAAAAGAAAACAAAUAAUGCAAGAUUAGGUACUCCAUCCAUACCGACUAUGCUAUAAUUUCACGCACAUUUAUCAUUACAUGCUCUCAACUAGCCAAGCCUCUAUUGACAUCUCGUAUGAUAUUCGAUAUGAUAUUUGAUGCAUUUCCACACAUCAUUUUAUUUUCGUUUAGAUUAUACUAAUAAUAGCAUUUCAUCUAUUCCACAAUAAUCUUAUGUUCCUAACUUCAAAUAUAAUCACCACAUAGGUUCAAGAUUUACCAAGCUCAGUUCCAAAUAUAAACAUAACGUCUAUUCCUUAUGAACUCAAAAUAUCUACUCAUUCCGCUGUCCAUGAUUUACUCGAUAUAGUCGCACACUUAAUGUUAAUAAUUAUUCGAAAAUAUAUAGUAAGUCCGCACACUUAGUGCUUAAUAGUCAAACUCGCACACUUAGUGCUAUACAAUUAAACUCGCACACUUAGUGCCAAUCUCAUUAUCGUAAAUGUUUAUACCCGCACACUUAGUGCCGAAAUCAACAACUCAAUACAUCUCACUUCUUCUUACAAUCGAUAAUUUUGUCACUACAUGCAUUUAUAUAUCAUCCCAUUCGGCAUAAGUACAUAAGUUUAUGAUUAUUUAAAUCAAUACAAAAUAUAUGCUUAAUAACUUACCUUGUGUUGGGUAAAGCGGUUCCAACUCGGCUACUCGAUGUUCUUUCCUUUGCCUUUGCUUGAUUCUCCUCCUUUAACUUCUUGAGCUUAAUCAAUAAAUUAACUAGUUUAAUCAUCUUGCUAAAUAUUUAUAUCAAAAUAUUAAUGAUUUCAUAUCAUAGGAGAUACAUGACUAAUUCUUAUCUUCCUACCAUAUGUUUUUGAGCUAUUCGGCUAAUAACCAUAUGCUAUCACCCUACUAUCAAUAAUCCAAUCACACAUGCAUAUAUAUAUAUGGCCGAAUGUGCAAAGCUUAGACUCAACAUCACCUAUGCUCUUAAUUUGAUGGCCGAAUAUGCAUACAUAUAUAUAUGAUAUCAACUAUACUAUCAUCUUUAAUUCACAUAAACACAAAAUUUCAUCUCAUGAACACUUGACCGAAUUUUUCCUAAUCUAGCAUGGCUUCACAUCUAUUUGUAACAUCCUAUAAAUCCACAUAUACCACAUUUCUACAUAAAUUUUCUUUUACUUUUCCACUACUUCCAUUCACAACAUCAAAAGCACCAUACACUUAGCAUUUACCUCUUCCUAACCAUAUGCCAUCUAAGUACCCUUUUAGGUAGAAAAUUAACAUAUGGGUUGUAAUAAGACAUUGGCUACUAACUAGAUUUUCACAAGAAUUUAGUAAAAGUAACAUAAAUCCUACCUUAAUCAACCCCUUUUGAGUUGGCCGAAUGUCUAGAGCAUUUCUUCUUUCCUUCUCCUAACUCACGGCAAUUGCAAGAAAAGAAAGAAGAUGAAUACUCCCUCUUCCUUCCUAAUUUUAUUCAUCUUUUCUUUUUAAUUCCUUUCUUUAAUUUAUUUUAAUUGCUAACUAAUAAAAGAAUUGCAUUGAAAUUCAACCUAGUGGAUGGGCAUCAUGGCUUGGCCGGCCACUACUUGGGUUUUUGGGCAAUUUGACAUGCAAACCCAAGUUUCCUCACUUUGUUAUUAUUUGGUCCUUACAUAUCCCCCUAUCAUAUUUUUUAAAGUUCUCAACUAAGUCAAUCACAUGAAAUUCACAUUCAUAAGUCUAAAUUAAAACAUCAAAUUUUCACACAUGCACUAAUACUCAUAGAGGAUAUGCAACCAAAUUUUUAAAUAAAUUUUGGGACUCGGACUUGUGGCCUCGACACUGGAACCCUAUGCAGUCUAACUAUCUUGAUGAUAUACAACUUUGCCAACUUCUAAAGAGAAAAUUCCAUUAGAACCGGAAUGAAUUGAGCAGACUUGGUCAAUCUAUCCACGAUGACCCAAACAGAAUCCUUCUUAGUGGGUGUUAAAGGUUACCCACUAACGAAGUCCAUCGUUACUUGCUCCUAUUUCCAUAAAAAAAUCUUAACUGGCUGCAACAAACCCAAAGGCAACUGAUGCUUAGCCUUAACCUGCUCACAAGUCAAACAACGAGUAACAAAAUCGGUAACCUCACGCUUCACUCCCGGCUACCAGUACAAUUCAAGAAGAUUGUGGUACAUCUUAUUACCGCUGGGAUGCAUAGCAUAAGAGCUACAAUGCGCCUCCCUUAGAAUAGACAGCCUCAGAUCAAAAUCGUUGGGUACACAGAUCCAUCCUGGAAAACAUAACACACCAUCAUUGUUUAUCCCAAAAUCAACAGUAGUACUAUUCUCAAUCUAUCGAAACUACAAGAUCAGAGACUUAUCCCUCAACUGCUUAUCCUGAAUCUGAUCAAUUCAAGUUAGCUUAACUUGUAACUUAGCUAACAGACUCCCAUCAUCAAACAGACUAAGGCGAGCAAACAUCGCCCUCAUAUUAGUCAUCACUUUAUGACUAAGAGCUCGGCCACCACAUUGGCCUUACCGGGAUGAUACUUAAUGGUGCAGUCAUAAUCUUUAAGCAACUCAAUCUAUUGCCACUGCCUAAGAUUCAACUCCUUUUGAGUAAAGAGAUAUUUUGAGGCUCUUGUGAUCGAUGUAGAUGAUACACCUCUCACCAUAUAGAUAAUGCCUCUAGAUUUUCAACACAAAGACCACGACAACCAAAUUGAGAUCAUGCAUCGAAUAGGUCCCUUCAUGUGUCUUAAGCUGAUGGAUACAUAAGCCACAACUUUACUAUCCUGCAUCAGAACGUAACCCAACCCAACGUGCAAAGCAUCACUGUAGACCACAAACUCCUUACCAGAUUCAGGUUGUACCAGAAUAGGAACCUAAGUCAGAAUAGACUAGAGCUUUUCAAAAUUCUCUUACCGUGAUCAAUCUAGACAAAAGGGACACUUUUAAGCAAAAGCUUAGUAAGAGGAGCUGUAAUCAAAGAGAACCCUUCGACAAACCACUGAUUAUAUUUCGCCAAACCCAGAAAGCUACGGAUCUCAGAUACAUUAUUAAGUUGUUUCCAAUCUAAAACAACCUCAAUCUUUCGAGUAUCAACACGAAUCCCCUCAGCAGAAACCACGUGCCCUAGAAAAGUUACUUCACGUAACCAGAACUCACACUUGCUUAACUUAGAGUAAAGCUGCUUCUCAUGCAAAAUCUGAGGCACUACUCUAAGAUGCUCAUCAUGCUCAUCUUCAAUCUUAGAGUAAACAAGAAUAUCAUCGAUGAAGACUACAACAAAUCGAUCCAAAUAAGGCUGAAACACUUGGUUCAUCAGAUCUAUAAAUACAGUCGGAGCAUUCGUCAGACCAAAAGGCAUAACUAGGAACUCGUAAUGUCCAUAACGUGUCUUAAAUGCAAUCUUAUGAACAUCAGCCUCCUUAACCCUCAACUGAUGAUACCUAGAUCGAAGAUCAAUCUUAGAUAACACAGAAGCCCCUUGGAACUGAUAAAACAGGUCGUCAAUCUUCAGAAGCGGAUACUUAUUCUCAACAGUCAGCUUAUUCAGCUGCUAAUAAUCAAUGCACAUUCUCAUGGUCUCAUCUUUCUUCUUAACAAACAAAACUGGUGCUCCCUACGGAGACACACUACGACGGAUGAAACCAUGAUCCAAAAGCUCUUGCAAUUGAACCUUAAGCUCAGUAAGCUCUUUUGGUGCCAUACUGUAGGGAGCGGUGGAUACUGGAGCUGUACCCGAAAGAAGCUCAAUCCUAAACUCAACCUCCUGAUUAAGAGGUAAACCUGAUAACUCCUCGGGAAAACAUCUAAAAAAUCUUUUACAGUUCUGAUAUUCCUAACAGAAGAGUUUUCAGAAUAAAAAAACACUAACGUAAGCCAAGUACGCCUCACACCCUUUCCGAACUAGUUUCUUAGCCAUAAGAAUGGAAAUCAUAUUAGACAGGUAAUCUUGACGCUCGCCAAUUACAACCACUUCUCUAUCAUCCUCAGUCCUUAGAACGGUCUUCUUAGUUGCAUAGUCCAAACUAACUCAGUACUUAACCAACUAAUCCAUGUCCAGGAUUAAGUCGAACUCCCUAAACAAAAGCUCCAUCAAAUUUGCCAGAAAUAUCUCCCCUUGCACCUUUAACGGGACAUCCUUAUACAGUUUACUAACCAGAACAGACUGGCCUAACGGACUUAUCACAGUAACCUCACUAGAAGUACUCUCAACGAAAAUCCUCAAGUUUUCAGAAAAUAAACUGGCUAUAUAGGAAUGAGUAAAUCCUAUGUUUAUCAGAGCAAUGUAAGGUACAUCUAAUAUAAAGAACAUACCAGUGAUGACGUCAAGAGCAUCUCUGUCCUCUAGGCGACGUACAACAUAAACUAAAGCAAGCUGCCUUGCCUCUGUCUAACUAGCACCUCUGCCAAGUGCUUUCUGUCCUCGGCCCAUACUAUUACCACCCCUAGCCAGACCACGACUCCUAGGUGGUUCCUGAACUACUUUCUGCGACUGCACGAGACCUGAUUCUAGAGCUUGCACCUGAUUAUCCCUUAAUGGAAACUCCCUAAUGCAGUACUCUAAUGACCUACACCUCAAACAAGCCCAAUCCUCCUCCAGCACUCACCCAAAUGGCAUCUCCCAUAACCUCCACAAGGCAGUAUCCUAGUAGAAGCAACAGGGGCUCCCACUCUAACUAGCCUAUCAGAUCUGGCAUUUUUCUUUGGCUUCUACAUAGAACUCGAGGGUUCCAGAUCUCUCUUGUUCUUACCUCUCUCCCUAUCUCUAUUCUGGCACUCCAUCUUUAGCGAUCUUUUCCUUUUCGACCAAAACAAAAAACUCGCGCUCCCUCUGUGGAGCUAUCAAAACUCUCAGAUUAUCCCCCAGCCCAUCCUCAAAAUGAACACACCUCUCAUAUUCCGAUGCCACCAUACCUUGAGCAUAGCGGCUCAGCUUCAGAAAUUCAGCCUCAUACUUGGCCAUAGAUCGGUCACCUUGCAUGAGGUUCAAGAACUCACACCUGCGAGCAUCAACGUAUCUAGCUCCCACAUACUUGCUCUAAAAUGUAGUCUUAAAGAAUUCCUAAGUCAGAUGAUCAGGCUGGGUGCCCUAGCUAACCGUCAACCACUAUUGGUAAGCCUUAUCGCGAAGCAAGGAGAUUGUACCCUUCAAUUUCUGCUCGAAUGUACAAUCCAGAUCAUCCAUAAUUCUCUCAGUGGCCUCUAACCAGUACUCGGCCACUUUAGGGGCGACUCCUAUGGCACCCCUAAAUAACUCAGCUCUAUUAGAUCAGAGUCAUUCAAUUACUGACCCUUGGCCCUUAGAUCCAGUAUUGGGCCCAACGACCCUCUCUAAUAUCCUCAGCAUGGCUUGAGAUAGUGUGUCAUCCUCAGCCGAACGACUCUGAGACCUAGUCUCAAUAGUAGGUGACACAAGUGUCUCACUAGUGUCCAAAUUUGGUAUGCUGCCCAGAGAUAAAGACUCAGCUCGAGCCCCCUAUGGCCUCUACCUCGGCCUCGAGUACCAUGUCCACAAAUACCUCAUACGCUCAUUGUAAUUUUGAAUUUUUAUCUAUAUUAAGAAUUUUAUGCAUCAAUUUCAAUUUUUAUUAACAAAUGUUUUAUGCAGAAAGUUUUAGAAGUUCAGAGUUAUUCGGAUGUUUCAGUCUCUAAAUGUUUCACUACAGUUUCAGAGAGUACUAACUAAUAGUGUUUUCAAAGUAACUAUUUAUAGUAUUUCAGAGUAAUCUAUCUAAGUUUCAGAAAACUUACAGAAUCGGCACCGGAGACUCGAUGUGCCACAUACUUAAUCAGAGUGUUUAAAAUCAUUUGAAAACCAAUUCUUUCAAACCAAAUUUUAGAACCCAAAAUUCACAACCGUGUUUUGCAACCUAGUUCUGAUAGCACUAAAUGUAAUACCCUAAACUCAACCUAGACGUUAUGGCCGAAUCUAGCGAUGUCACAUGGAAGGAAUUUUGAAAACGGAGCUAACUUGAUAAAAACCUUAAGCUUAUAAACCCUUAAUUGCUUUCAUUUAUUUCAAAAUAUAUAUUCAAUAGUCAUCUUGCCUUAAAAUGUAUAAUUUUAGCGGAAGCUUAGGAAAAUCGUCGUGUUUAAGGAAGACAGUUCGCAUUUUUAGAAAAUCUGUUUUUAGGUAAAACCAUCAUAGUAAUAAACAAGUUAAAUUUAAAAACCCAAAACCAAAGCCAAACAGUUUGAAAGAGUCCAAAGAGUCCUAGAAAAUACAACCUCUCAAAUCUCAAUGCCAAAACUUAAAUAAAACCAUAAAACAAAAUAAAAUAGUAAUAGCGAGUGGUCACUGUCAAGUCCUCCGCUGCACUGAUCCGCCUAACUCUGUGGAUAACCUGUUCAAAACAAAUAGAAAAUGGGUGAGUUUACGUAACUCGGUGUGUAACUCAGCAGAAUUAAACAUGCAAUGAUACAAAUUAUCAAACAUCAGUCAUAUACAAAUUAGGGCCCAUGCCCAUCUCAGAUACAAAUACAGAUGUGAAAAUUAGAAUCAGAAAUAAAAAAUCCUACCCCCAUCCUCUACACACCAUCUCUGAUCAUCUCUACACACCAUGUGGGGUUAAAAACACCCACCCAGCCCUGCACACCAUAUAGCACUGAUGCGGCACAAAACAUAUAUAAUACAGCCAUGCUGCCAGAUAUUAGGCACAAAUUGCCUUUUAGAACACUUUUUCCAAUAUACAUCAUCCCAUCCCCAAUAUCAGGUACAGAAAGAUACAAUUAUAGAUAAACAGACUAACAUGUUCAAAUACUUUCAUAUAAGCGUAUAUAGAUAACAAAUAUGUAGAUAAUAGUGCAAGUAAACAUGCAUCAAUCUCCUAAUGAGAUCAAAAUAUCAAACGAUUAGAUCAUAUAGUUUAGGGUUUAUUUAGCCCUUACCGACCCUAUAGUAGGCCCAUUUUUGUUUGGGACGACCCGUGCAACCCUAGGGAAAAACUCAGAUAAAUGGGCCCACACACCCGUGUGGACUGCCCAUGUAGGCUCACACGCCCAAUAUGGCCCAUACGCCCGAUUUGGUCAAGCUCGUGUGGCUCACACGGCUACAUCCUAGCCACUACAUGGCCGUGUCUAGCGCACGACCUCACCUUCGUCGACCACACGGUCGUGUCUCACACACGGCCUGCUACACACCUAUGUGACAUCGAUAGUGGCCUUUUUUGUCUUUUACUGGAACUUAUUUUUCUACAUUUCGGGUACAUACUUGGUAUUGUUUUGUAACGAAAACACUGCCGAGCUUCCCAAAACCUAAAACCAGAAUAUCCAACAUCGAUUUAGCAAUUGAUUAACAGAUUUCGGCAAUAAUGAGCUAACAGAAACCCGACUUACCACCGAAGAAGAACCUUCAUUAACACUUGUUAACCAAAGAAACGAAUUUCACUACUCGAAACAUUCGCCUACACUAUCAAUUGCAAUAGAAAUCAGAUUCUUAAUCGCUUAUUACACAACUAUGACAAACCGAAAUAGAAAACUUACCGAACAUGCACAAGUGUAAUUUCUGUUGCUAAAAGAAAAGAUGAAUUAGGGAAACAAAAGGAAAAGGAAGAGGGAAAGUUCCAAGGGAAUUUCGGCAGAGUGAUGGAGGAUACCGAGCAUCAAAAGGAGAUGGAUUUUCAAAAAAGAAAAUAAAAUAGAAAAUACCCUAGACAUGUUGACAACCCCCAAAUCCCUUAGAUUUCUCCCCACUAACCCACUAACACUUAACUUCUCAGAAUUUACAUUCCAUUGAAACACUGGCACAAAACCGAGCAAAAAAUAUCACCCAUGCUCGCGCAAUGAUUCGAACAUAGAACCUCCAACACACAAACUCCCUUACCACUCGAACCAACAGGCUCAUUCUGUCAUGGUUUUGCAAAAUUAAGUAUAAGCCCACUAAGCAAGGGUAGGACUUAAGUCAGAAAAAUACCAAAAUUUACCAAAGAUAAGGCUUGAACUUGAUACCUCACACACACACCCAAAACACUGAAUCACUACAGCAGAUACAUAUUUGUAUUAAGUAUUCACAGGUACAAAAACAUAAAACUUGAGGCGUUACAAAAGCAUGGGGUGAUUGGCAAAUCAAUCAGCACCAACUUGUUGCAAAGGAAGAUUCCCUUUUUUCUUUCCAAUCCACUAAAACAAAGACUUAUAUAAUAAUUUAGAUCCAAUAUUGCAAUAAUCUCAUAAUUGAAGCACCAAUUCCACUCACGCAAUUAUUGCAAUAAUAGAUUUAUUAUUUUUUAAUGGGUUAAUUGUAACACCCCCUAACCCUUAUCCGUCCCUGGAAUAGGAUUAUAGGGCAUUACCAGUCAAUACAAUUUAAUUACGGACAUUUAUUAAAAUAAUUAUUUACACUUAUCCUAUAUUUAACAUAUUGUCCCUUUAAUGGACCCUCGAAGUCCAAUAUGAACAGUAAAAUCAAUUCGAGACUAAUUUCAAAUCACAACGAAUUUUUCUCAAUAUUUCAAAAUUUUCCUAUCGAAAGUAUCCAUACGCCAGUGUGUCUCCAUAACACGCCCGUGUGGGCUCACUAUGUGGCUCACAUGGCCUGAACACACCCGUGUCCUCUACCCGUAGAGCUCUUUGAAUUGUUACUCAUGAACUAAUUGAUUUCACAAGGCCAAGUCACACGUCCGUGUGCUUAGCCCGUGUGGUUUUAUUUUCAAUUCGAAUCUAGUGCAGUUUUCAGACGGCCCUAUCGCAUGCCCGUGUCCAAGACCUUGUCUUCCAGACGACUGAGACAUACGGUCAUGUCUCUGCCCAUGUAGUAGUACCUGAGCAUUCUGUUUGCAAUACUUCAGAUGCAGGGGACAUAAAGCCUAACAACACGUCCGUGUGCAAGUCGUGUGUCUCACACGGUCUAGUUACACGUCCGUGUGUCAGGCCAUGUGGACUCAAAAUGAGCCUUACAAAUCUAGUUUACCAACCCUGCAAAUCUAGAACCCUAAUCAACACAAUUUCUAAUCUUUUAACUUAUUCAAAUUACGAUCUAAUACAUCUAAAGCAUAUUAAUUUGACCAAAAUAAACAUCCAACCAAUGACCCUCAUUGGUACCAGAAUUUAUUUCAACCAUCAUUGCAAUAAAAUACUAAUUGAACUUAUUUUUGCUUAUACCCGAAUUUACAUCUUUCAUACCAAACUUAAUUAAGUUAUAGACUCAAUCAUUAUCAUUUAUAACAUCAUUUAAAAUAACUUUCCAAAAUGACCACUUUUGACAUCCUAGGUACAUGCCAUUACCAAUAAUAAACAUACUUCUCCACUUACAGUUUGGGAUCGGCCUGGGAUGCUGAUUCAACGAUCUGAUUUUAACUUAUCCUGCGCACGGAAACAAACCGUAUGCUGAGUAUGAGCUCAGUGGUAUUUCUAUAAUCUGAACACUUAAUAACAUAACAUACACUUAAAAUCAUAUAUUGAUCUUGAAUAUUCAAUUAUUCAUUUCAUGGAUAAAUUCUUUAUAACUCAUUCAAUCUUCAUCAUCUAUUAACCCGAUUAGCUUUUCAAAAUAAAUUCACAAAUAAUUUAAAACAAUAAUAUUUUCCAUUCAUAUGUCUCACUUAUACUUCUAUUCAUUAUUCAAUUUCAGUAAAUAAUAUUUAACUAUUACAUUUCAUUCAGUAACCCGUAUAAUCCAAACUCAAUAUCAGUUAAUAUUUUUCAGUGUCACUCAAUUUAUCAAUUUCAUUUAGUAACAUUCAAUCAUUCAGUAGCAAUUAGUUAUUCAGUAACAAUCAUUUGCUCAGUAGCAAUCAGUUAUUCAGUAACGAUCAAUUAUUCAGUAACAGUCAGUCGUUCAGUAUUUUUAUUUACCCCUAUUAACAUGACUCGGACACUGACGGAUACACGGAUCCAACCAUCACACCAGUACAAUACGGCACAUAGUGCCUCAUCGGCCAAGCCGAAGUAAAUAGUAACAGUAACAGUACGAUACAGAGUACCUCAUCGGAAUUAAUCCGGAACAGUAACAGUACGACAUUUAUAAUACCUCAUCGACUCAAGGUCGAAGUAUCCCUGAACGCUUCUAAUCCUAUGGCAUGCCAACUAUAUCCAACUUAGCCCGAAUACUGUUAAUAGGGUUUUCAAUUCACUUGCAAUUUUUCAACCAAUACACAUUUCAAUUAAUCACAUAUAUUUUCAAUUCAAUACAAUUCACUUUACUUUUCAAUAAAAAAUAUUCAAAUUUCACAAUAAUCGCAUAUUCAUAUCAAUUCAAUUCAAUAACAAUUACUAAUACUUACCAUAACAUUUAAUCAAAAUAAAACAAUUAAUAAUUAAAUUCACCUUUCAAUUCCAACCAAUGUUCCCUCCAAUUCAAAUAAUCAUCUCAAUGCACUUAGCAUACAUCUUAAAUAAUAAUUUCAACAAUUAUAUAUUAAGUUCAGAUUUUAGAAAUACAAACCGUAAUUUUCGAGCUAACCCUCGUUGUCUUUGCCUUGUCCUUUCUUGGCUGAGGUUUCUGGCACAAUAUUAGCUACGGAAAUUAAAAUAAUAAUACCAUUAAUUACAACACUCAUUAUAACAAAUAAUUGAAUUUCUAUUCAAUUUAUACAUUAUUUUCAAUUAAAUCCUAACUAACUCAUUCACUUUACUAACUUAAUUCAUACUUCAUUCUUAGUCAAAUUCCUAUCAAAUUCAAACUUAACUAUCAAGUGUUCGUAAUAAAACCCUAAUUUAAAACUUCUUUCAAUUUAAUCCCUACUAUGUAAAACUUAUAACUUACUUUACAAUUCAAUCCCCUUUUUCAAUUCUAUCUUGAAAUUCAUUCAAUUAAACCCCUAAUUUAUUAUUUUGUUCAACAUGAACUAUGUUCAAAAACUUAAGAACUUUCAAAAUCUCAACUUAAUUUCUACAAAACUUUGUUCUAAAACUUCUAAAACAUCAAAAUUAAAAUAAAAGAACUUAAUUAAUUUACCUAUUAAAGCUUAAAGCUUCCAAACCCUGGUUUUUCCUUUUUCUUUGUUUUCUUAUUUUUCCCCUGGUACUUUCGAAUAGCCUAUUCUAUUUUUAUUUCCUUCUUUGUUUUAUUUUCUUUUAUUUUAUACUUUAUUUGUUUAAUAAUAAUAUUAUAUCUUAAUAAAUAUCUAUUUAAUAAUCAAUAUAUUUAUUACAAGUUUAAUAUUACUUAUAUUUACACAUGUACUAUAUCAUCAUCAUUAUACAUUUGUCAUGUUUUAAUUUAUUUAUCACAUAAAAAUCUUAUAAUAUAAUUAUUUAAUUAAUAAAUAUCUUUUACUUAAUAAUAAAUAAUAAAUAUCUAUUUACUUAAAUUAAAUGUAAUUAAAUAAAUGUAUCACAAUUGUACAAAUAUAAUUAUUACACAUGUAUAUUUUUAUUACCAUACAUUUGUCUUUACUUUAAUUUAUUUUAUAAUUUAAUAUCAAUUUAAUAAAAAUAAUAUUAAUAAAUAUCAAAUAUAAAACCAUAAUAAAUAAUAAUAAUUUAAUAUACAUAUUUAUGCAUAAAAAUCAAAGAUUUCUUUGCAUUUGCCGCCUCACUUAGGACAAAUGGUAUAGUUACCAUUUUGAUCCUUUUUAUUUCCUUUUAAUCUACAAUUAAACUUUCACACUUUAUUCAAUUUAGUCUUUCUUCCUAAUUACUCUUAAUUAAGCUAAAUUCACUUAAUUAAAGCCUAAUUAACCACUCGAUUAACUUCAUAAAUAUUUUUAAUAAAUAUUUACGAAUCUAUUUUUUAGAAACAGAGACUUGAAAAUACAUUUUUCGAUAACUAUAAAAUUCAGGUCGUUAUAUUAAUUGCAUCAAAUGAUCCUCAUUCUAAAUUAAUUCAUAAAUUUUAAAUCAUUUUAAUACAUCUCUAAACUAAAUAGGUUAUAUCAAUUAAGUUUUUCUUUUACUAAAACCAUUAAUUUAAUGAUAAAAAUAUCUCUAUAAUCUUUCUCAAUUUUGGAAUUAAACAAAUUAGUCCCUAUAAAAAAAUUGGAGCAAUUUAAUCACUACCAAUUCUGAAAAUAAGUAACGAAGGACAAUUAGUCACGAUGUUAAUGUCUUUCGUCAAUUGUGCAUAAUUUUUAUUGGCAUAAUAACAAAUUUAGCCUCGAUGUUUACGUAUUUUGUUAUUUUGGUCUUGAUUAUAAAAAAAACAACAAAUUUAGUCUCAACAUUUACAAAAAUAUUGCGAGCUAAAUUUGUUAAAUCAUCAUCAAAUCAAUAGUAUGUGUAAAUUAGACGAGCUAAAUUUAUUAUUAUACCGGUCAAAUUUAUGUAAAAUUAAUGAAAAACAUUAACGUUGUGAUUAAUUAUCUUUAAUUGCUCACUUUCAAAAUUGACAAAAUUAAAUUGCUUUGACUUUUUUAGAGGGAUCAAUUUGCUCAACAUCAAAAUUGAGAGGGACUAGAGAGGUCAUUUUACCCAGUUUAAUCAUUAAAUAGCAUGUUACAUCUAAUGUAAAGUAAUUUAAAAUGAAAAUUUUAAAAAUGAAUAUUAUAAUUGACGUUCUUUUUUUUAUAAUUUCAGUUUUACUUAAUUUUUGUUUUUAAUUUCAGUUUUACUUAAUUUUAAACAUGAUUCUAUUUCUUUAAAAUUUUCAUUUUAAAUUUAGCAAUAAAAGAUUUGAUGUGCCAUUUAACGAUUGUAAUAACAAAAGGACCCGAUUGAUUUAGUAUCAAUAAACUGAGGGUGUAUUUAGAAUAAUUUGAAGUUUAGGGACCAAUUUAAAAUGAUGGUAAUAGUUGAGGGAUGCUUGAUGGAAUAAACUCUUUUCAGAUGGUGCUAAUUAUUAAGUCUGCUUUAGGACAAAGUGAAAAAGUGGAAAGCCGAGUAAAAAGAUGAACCAAAGACUCACCUUUUUCUAAGUCCUCUGACAUGCCUUGUUGGUCUUUUUUGCAAACCAAUCAGCACCAACUUCAUUAAUUUAGAUCCCAAUAUUGCUGUAAUCUCAUAACACAAAUCCUCUGGCUACAAGAAAACUCAGUUUUUAGUGGCGAAGCAUCGUAGAAAUUCAUGGGUCAUACUAAAAUAGUAAAAUUUUCCGAGCGGUUGAAUUUUCCAGGCGGAUGAACUUCAAUUUCUACUUUGUUUUUUUCCCCCUUCCUUCAAGUUCCUUUCUUUUUGUGUUCAGUUUACUUACUUUUGCUAAAAAAAAAAAACCAACCUUGAAAUCCCUUUUGAUUGUUUUGUAGUAAGAAUCUUCUGAGCACUACGAGUAGUUUGAUUUUAAAGUUCCCAAGUGAGGUAAAUCUAUUUAUAUUUGCUUCAUUUCUUUUAUUUCUGUUUUUUUUUUUAUAUAUAAAUUGAAGUUGUUCUAUCUUUUUUUGAUCUCAUCUCAUCUUUUUAUGUUUUUAUUGAAGCAAAUCAGAGCUAUAAGACUGUUUGGAUUUUGAAGUGGUAAGUGGAUAUAUUUAUUAUAUUUCCCAGCAUUAUAUGUAUAAUAUUAUUAGUGUGAGGGUACAAAUAUUUUGAAUUAUUAUUUUUAUAAGUAAUUAACUGUCUUUUUUAUUUAUAAUUAUAUGACAUUACACUCGUAUAUGAUUUUAUUUUGUGUUGUGUCUUCAGCUGGACUGAGUUGAAAGAACAGCCCAUUGAUUCUCAUAGUUUGAGUUGUCUUUCACCUUCCUUGGUAUGUAUAAGUAGUGUCCUAAUCUUCAAAACACUUUUUGAUUCUUUAAUAGUUUUUAAUGGUAACUACUUAUAAUUCACUGCAGUGUUUGAGCUUGGAACAUCAUAUUCUUCAAUUUGAGCUUGUCAAGCAUGGGUUGUGGGUUUUGUGGGGCUGCUCUUCCUAACAUCUUUGCAACACUGGUUGUGGACUGUGUGUUGAAGCCGGUAGUACGUCAAUUUGAUUAUGUCCGUCGCUUUCAUGACAAUGUUGAAAAGCUCCGAGAGAAAAAGCGUGAACUUGCAGAUGCACGAGAUCGUCUACUACAUAAGAUUGAGGAUGCUAAAAACCGGCUUCUACUAAUUGAAAAUGAUGUACAGAACUUGCAAUCAAGGGCAGACGAAACACUGUCGGAUAUGGGAACUCUGGAGGAGGAAAUCCAACUGAAUAAGAGGUGUCUCAACUGGUGUCCUAAUUGGAGUUGGAGAUAUCAAUUAAGCAAGAAAGCAAUGAAGAAAAUCCAGGGUAUCUCUGAACUUUUGGACAAAUUUCGUCAACUUGGACACGUUGGUUACUGUGCUCCUACUGCCCUUCCCACUAUAGACUUCCUAUGUUCUAAGGAAUUUGUGUUUUCGAAAUCUUCAGAGACUACUUUCUAUCAAAUCAUUGAAGCCUUAAAAGAUGAGAAUAUCAACAUGAUUGGGUUGUGGGGGAUGGGAGGGGUGGGCAAGACCACCCUGGCUCGUGAAGUUGGAAGUCAACCUCAAAAACUGAAUUUGUUUGAGAAAGUUGUGAUUACGGUUGUGUCUCAAAAGCCAAAUUUUGAGAGAAUUCAAGAUCAAAUUGCACAAUACAUAGGCUUUGAUAUGAAGAAUAAACAAGGAAGAAGAUCCGAGCAAGAAUUAUGGUUAAGGCUGAAGAAUGAACCGAGGAUUCUUAUCAUCCUUGAUGAUAUUUGGGAAUCUAUCAACUUAAAGGAGAAGAUAGGAAUUCCAAUUGGGGAUGAUCAUAAAGGCUGCAAAGUUCUUUUAACAACACGCCGUAAACGAGUAUGUCAAAUUAUGGAGUGUCGACCGGUGGUAGAACUUGACUGUUUGGAUGAUGAUGAAGCUUGGACUCUGUUUGAAAAGAAAGCAGGUCUAGAUGACUUUUCUGAUGAUUCUAUUAAAACCCCAGCAAAGAAAAUUGUCAAAAAAUGUGGGGGUUUGCCUAUAGCUAUAGUUCCGCUGGCAAGUGCCUUGAAAGGCAAAACAAAUUGUCAUGAGUGGCAAGCUGCAUACCGGAGACUCGAAGGUCGUAGAUUGACUGAAAUAGAGGAUGUUGAUGAAAGAAAUGCCUAUGUAAUUCUUGAGACGAGCUUCGAUUACUUGAAGGAUAUGAUGACCAAGACAUGUUUCUUGUUGUGCUCUUUAUUUCCCGAAGAUCAUGAGAUUUAUGUGGACGACUUGGUAGGAUAUGCAUGGGGACUGGAGUUGUAUAAAGGCAUGGACUCAAUUAAAGAUGUUAGAAGCGAAGUGCUUGCAUCGAUUGAGAUCCUCAAGAACUCUGGUUUGUUGCUAGAUUCCGGAGAAAUGCAUGUCAAAAUGCAUGAUGUGGUUCGCCAAUUUGCUUUGUGGAUAGCAUCUUCAAGAAAGGAGAUUUCUUUUGGGACUGUUGAAACACUCCCGAUGGAUGAAAGUUUCAAGCAUUACACAGCAAUCUCCUUCGAAACUGAUCAAACAGAUGAACUUCCUAAAGGAGUCGGUUUUCCAUACCUCAAACUUCUUUUACAUGGUGGCAAUCGUUUCGUGGAAACUUCAAGCGAAUUCUUUGAGGGUAUGAAGGCAUUACAAGUUUGUGCUUUGAAAUAUCAAUUGAUAUCUCUAGCUGCAUUUAAGUUUAAUAUGAACCUUCGAACUUUGUGUUUGAUUAAUUGUGAACUCUCUGACAUCUCGAUGCUUGGCAAGCUGAAGACACUUCAUAUUCUCUCUUUAAGUCAAUCUGAUAUCACUGAAUUGCCGACUGAAGCUGGUGAUUUGGAAAAUCUAAGACUGUUGGAUUUAUCGUAUUGCGAUGAUCUACGAAGAAUUGCUCCUAAUUUAAUACAAAGAUUGUCCAAUUUAGAAGAACUAUACUUGCAUGGUUGUAGUUCAUUAAAAUGGGCGACUGAGAAUUCAACUAAAAAGGAAAGCUAUUCUAGCCUAUCGGAGUUGAAUUCAUUGCCAAAGUUGGUUGUAAUAUCAUUGGAUAUUUCUUCUAAACAUCUUCCAGAUGGCUUUGUGUUUCGUAGAUUAUGGAGCUUUGAUUUUUGCAUUGGCAUAAAAAGACCCAAGUGGUACCAAAAGAGCGAAACUUGUCCAAUCUCAAGAUCUUUGAGAAUCAAGAAAUCUGUAGAUGCAUGCAAGCAACUACUUGAAAAUGUAGAAUCUCUUCAAUUGAAUGAUGUGGAGGGUCACCCAAACCUUAUUCCGAGCUUGGACUUGGGAUUUAGUAAGUUGACUUCUCUAGAUCUUCGUCUGUGCCACUUUAUGCAGUGCCUAAUUGAUUCACCAAAGCAGCAAGUGCCAAUCACGACACUCUCUAAUUUGAGGAAGUUAUCAUUAAGUUGUAUGUUUGAUUUGGAAGAGAUGUGCAAUGCUCCCCAGCCGCAAGGUUUUUUACAAAAGCUUGAAGAGGUUAUAGUUUCAGAUUGUGAUAAGAUGCAAGUCUUAUUCCCUAAUGUUGAAUUGAAGAGCAUAGAACUAGAAGGGCCCAGUAGUCAUUUAUGCCUCCAAAGUCUGAAGAUUGUUAAAAUAAAGAGAUGCAAUAAUUUGAAAUAUAUCUUCCCAAUGUCAGUUGCUAAUAGCCUUGAACAAUUGCAUACUUUGAAGAUAAAGAGUUACUCGCAAUUGGAAGAUAUAAUCCAAGACCGACAAGCUGCAUACAAAUGUCUACUCCAAAGUCUAAGGGAAGUAUGUGUAUCUCAUUGCAAUAACUUGACAUCUCUUUUCCUUAUUGCCUUAUGGUCAAAGAUUGGGAAAUUUGAUUAUGCUUUUCAUUUCAGGUUUCGUUGAUUGAUUUACCUCAAUUGAAAGGAAGGGAUGUGAAUGACAUUAUGCUCACACAAUUGUCUUUGCAGAAGUUAAAAGUGCACAAUUGUCCUCAAUUGACACAUUUUAUUAUUUCGACUACUAUACGAGUUUAUAUUAUAUUAUAUAUUUAUUUAUUAAUUCGUUUCUUUUUUUCUUUAAUAAUUUGUUGUUUGAAUAGUUGUUUAAAAGAUAGAAUUUAUUUUAUAAUUUUGGUCUAAAACUAAUCUAAGUAACCUUUUAAAACAAAUUAGUUGAUUAUAAUACUAAAUUAUACAAACUAUAUGUUUUAGAUAUGUUGCAAACUAUUUAUCUAAUACUAAAUUAUAUUAUACCUAUUAAGUGGGUAAACAAAAAUAAGUUACAUAAAAUUAUAUAUAAGUUUUAGUUCGGUUGGUAUCGAUAUUGUUGUAUGAAUAGAGGAUGUGGGUUUGAGCGCACUUAAGAACGUUUGUCUUUCUAUUUAAACGUGGGAAGGAAUUAUGGAUGAUUUUAGAAUUUGUAUAAAAAAAUAAACUAAAAAAUAUAUAUAUUUAAAUUUUUUUUAAAAUGUAGUCUUUAACACAGGUGAUUUUUUUGUUUUUGUAUUAAUAUAUGAAAACGAGUUUAAGUAAUUUCCAAUUGCGUUGUUACACCUAUCUAAUAAUUUAUAUAUGUAAAGAUUAUGUGAUAUUAUUUAUGACUGUUUUUGCACCUCAUUUUUUGAGUAUAAUAUUGAUUUAAGUUAAAAUAAAUUUUUUGUAAGGAAAUUAAUUGAUGAAAUGAUAAGUUAGUUGUUGACAUCUUUGAAUAUUUUGAAAUUGAAAAUUGAUGAUAUGUUUAUAGGAAUUGGUGUUUGGGAAGAUGACAAAUCAACAAUUGAGCAAUUUGCAUUCAUGUAAAUAUGAGGAGCUAGAGCAAGAUCAAACGUCAUCACCACAUCAUCCCCUACCUAUUUGCUUUCCAAAUCUGAUUCGAAUUGAUAUCUUAGAAUGUGAAAGCUUGAAAUCUCUCUUUCCAAUUAUUGUUGCUCAAGGUAGGUCUAAAAAACUAAAUGCUCCCAAUUUGCAAACCUUGAAGAUAAAGAGGUGCUUUGGAAUGGAAGAAAUAAUCCAAGACUCACAAGUAUCAACCAUAAGCUUCCAAUGCCUAAGGGAAAUACAAGUCACAGAAUGCAAUAAUUUGAAAUUUCUCUUCCCAAUGUGUGUUGCUGGUAAUCUUGGGCAAUUGCAAACUCUGAAGAUAGAGAGCUGUUCGCAAUUGCAAGAAACAAUCCAAGGACCAGAAGUGCUAAUUUCAAUGGCUCAAGGUCUUGCACAAUUGAAUGAAGUUGAGUUAAUUGAUUUGCCUCAAUUGAAAGGAAAUGAUACAAAUGACAUCGUGCUGACAUCGCCAUCUUUGCACGUGUUACAUGUGAGAAAUUGUCCUCAAUUGACACCUUUUAUCGUGUCCCCCAAUAUACAAGUAAGACCUUAUAUAUUAUUUAUUAAAAUUUUCACCUUUUGAUUUUUUUUGUAUAAAAUAAAUAAAUGCUUGUAUAACUCUUUAAAAAAUAGUUUUCAUUUUAGAAUUUUGGUCUAAAAACUAAUCUAAAUAAACCUUUAAGUAGUUUAGUUAAUUACAAUACCAAUUAGUAGUAAAUACUUUUAUCAUCUAUAUGAGAAAUAUAUAUAUUAUUUAUGUUUCUUUUAUUUAUAUAUAUAUAUAUUUUGCAAACACUAUCUAGUACUACGUAAUAUUAUUUAUGUUGUGUUUUUAUAAGUAUUGGUGUUGUCGGAGAUGACAGAAAAGCAAUUAUUUGAAUAUUCUAGAUAUAAUGUUUCAAGUCUGAAGUACCUUAGUUUGUACAAACUAACUGAAUUGCGGGUGAUAUGGAGUGCUCCCAUCCAAGUUGAAUACUUUGCAAAUCUCACUGAAUUGGUAGUCCACAGUUGCAGAAGGUUAAUAUACAUCUUCUCACCUACCAUCGCUCGAAAUUUCCCACAAAUGCGCAGGUUGAAUAUAUAUGUGUGUGAGGAAUUGGAGCAAAUAAUUGAGAAGGAACAAACUCCAUCACAACAUCAGCUCCAACCUAUUUGCUUCCCUAAUUUGAGUUCGAUUACAAUCAUUAGCUGUGUAAACUUGAGAUGUCUCUUCCCGAUUACUCUUGCUCAUGGCGGCCUUCCAAAACUAUAUCGAUUAGAACUUGAAGAUAUCCCCCUAUUAGAGCAGGUGUUUGAAGAAGAUGAGUCAAAUGUGAGUAAGGACGAAGAGGAAGUGAUACACCUACCUCGAUUAACCCACUUAAAGCUUGAUUGGCUACCAUACCUCAUGAGCUUCAGCCCUCUGGGUUCUCAUUUUAUUUUCCCAUCUUUGACGGAUUUACGAGUAAAAGAUUGUCCCAACAUAUACACAAGAUUUAGUGUGGAUUCAAAGGAUUCAGUGCAUGCCAAAACACAGGUACACUACUCUUCCAAACUCAAUAAUAAGCUUUAAAACAAAAGUUUAUCCACUGAAUUAUUUUCUCUAUGUAUUCUUCCAAACUCUUUAUUUACUAAUCUUUAAUUUCUAUGCAUUAAUGCAAUAUUUUUAUUUUGGCUGUCUGAGAGAAAUUCUUUUUUUUUUAAUGCUUUAAAUGACUAAAUGAAAUUGCAUCGACUGUAAAUGGUUUCUGUUGGCUGUCAAUAUUUGUUUCUAGAUAUCAUUGUUGCAUUAUUAAUUUCAAUUCACAGUUCUUGUUCUUAAAAUGUCAUCCUUUGUCCAAUUUUGGAAAACUGGCUUUGCUUUCUUCAUCAUCAAUCAUCAAAAGCAAACAGUAAUAAGUGAAGGUUUAAUUUGCUUUGCAGGUAAGCCAAUCAGUUGAUGAAAUUAUAGUGGAAGAAUCUGCUACGGCUCCAGAAAUUGCAUGGCCAAUUGGUAGUGAUAUCUAUUGGUGGAACGGGGAAGGUGGGGAAGAUGAAAGUGAUUUUGAAUAUUAAAAAGAAUGGAGCAAUAAAUGAAGUAAUUUCUAUUUGAAAAUUAAGCAUUGUGAAUGUUGAAAUUGAAUGCCAUGUAUUCGUUAUUAUGUACCACUUAUUUUUUCAACUAAUUCUAACAUUACAUAAGGUAAUUUAAAAACAUCAAUAAUGUUGGUAGAAACCUUAUUUUUUUGAAAAGGCGUUGACUUUUAUUUAAAAACGAAAAUGGGAGUCACCACUGAUUUUUUAAGGUGUGAUCAGAUCACCUAGUAAUUUAGUCGUUUUAAUGAAAUAUUUUAAUUUAUUAAAACAGCGAUUUUGGUCUACGAAAUUUGAGAAAAUGGGUUCGGGAGUCAGUUACGUGCGAGGAAGGAUUAAUACCCUUGUCACGCCCAAAAUUGGUACUUAAUUGAUUAAUUAAUGUCUCAAUGUUGAAUGUUAAAAAUUUAGAAAAGAUUUUAAAACACGAUUCUUUUUUAUUAAUGUUCAUUUUAAAAAUGAUUGAACAAAUGAAACGAAAUGCUAAAGACUCUCUCGUCUCGAGGUAAUAAAAUAUCACAUCCCGUAAGUUAAGACACGACAUUUUGAACCCUUGAGAAUAAUCUUGCCUUUAAAUUUUAUUGAAAUUUCAUCUAUUUUGAAAUUUAAAAGGAUAUUUGGCUAUUUAGGUUUAACAAGAAAAUCGAAACCCCAUAAGUUAGGGUACGAUUUCUUGAAUUUCCAAAACGCGAAAUAUUACUUUAUUUUAAAAUUUUUUGUUUUUGAAUAAUAACGAGUACUACAUUUACGAUGUGUGUUUAUUUUGUUCAAAGUAAAACCAAAAUGAUCCAUAUUGGAUAAAUAUAUUGGAGCCUAAUGCACGACGUGAUUUAAACGAGAUAAAAGAAAAAGGCAACAUAGAGCAUGGAAUAAUGAUACACGAAUUAGAUGUUAUGUUAAUGAAUGUCGACAAUAUGAAAAUAUUAAUAAAUAAUUCCUAGAAUAUAUAAUAGUAAUAUUGACAUAAUACAUCAUUUUAAUACCAAAAUUAACAAUUGAAGUAAACAAAACAAAAUAACAUAUAAAACAAUUUGAAGUAAAUAGUAUAAAACAAUUUAAAAUGAAUAAUAUGUAAAACAAAUAUUAAAAUAAAUAAUAUAUAAAGCAAUUCAAAAUAAAUAAUUUACAAGACACUUUAAAAGAACAUAUAAAAGAGUUUAAGAUAGAUAAUAUGUAAAACGAAAUUUAAAAUUAAUAUACAACGCAGUUUUUUUAAAAUAAAAAUAAAAAUAAAAAUAAAAAUAAAAGAUAUAUAUAUAAUAGUUCAAAACAAAUAAUAUAUAUAAUAAUUUAAAAUAAAUAAAUAAUAAAAGUGUUUAAAAUAAGUAAUACAGGGAAAACUUAAAAUAUAUAAUAAUAAAACAGUUUAAAAUGAUAAUAUAAGAAAAGACUUAAAAUAAAUAAUAAUAAUAAAAAAAAAUUCUUUUGAAAAAAGAAAAAAAUUAAAUUAAAUAGACCAAGGACGAGAUUGAAAUCGAACUGAAAUUCAGGGUAUAAAUUGUAAAUAAAAAAAGGCUAACAAGAAGCAAAAUAAGACAGGCUGAAACAAACGGGGACCAAAUGAAAACAUAGCCCAAUCUUUGGACACGCAUCCUGUCUCCAAGAGCUCAGCGUGCCCAGGAUUAAAUUGAACCACGCGAGAAAUGUAUGCCCAAAUUUAUAAAAUAAAGAAAAAGGUAAAUAAAAGGGCAAGAUUACAGUGCACUGCAAAAGCGGAGAGACUCCGCGUGCAAAUAGACCAUAAGUCAAAAAGGCGCGGACCUUCUCCUGGUAUGGGUUGGGUCGUGCGGGUUAGAAGCCUAAAACAACGUCGUUUUGACCUCUAAACUUAAUGAUCAAAACAACGUCAUUCUAUGACUUUAUUUAAACCCAAUUUUUUUUUAAAAAAAAUUUAGUGGUUCUUAAAAAAAACUUCAAAGAAACCCUAUUCUCUCAACCCCCCUUUUGGCCGGCAUGGGUUCCAUCGUUGAUACACCCUACCGCCGCCGUGGCCGGUGGCCAACGAUGCGGAAAACGGGCUUUUUAGCCUCGCUUUGAGGCGCCUUUGAAGGCCAAGACACCAAAAUCCAAAGAGUCGAAAGGAGAUCACUCUCUGGCCCUUUUGAGUUUGACUUCGGAAACGGAGAAUGGCCUCCUGACGUUGCAACCGCGGGAAAAUCAGGUGAGCCACAAUCUUUCCGUUUUUAUAUUUUCAUAUAUGUAUAUAUAUAUAAAUAAAAUAAGAUAAAAUAAAAUAAACUUAAUAUUAAAAUCAAAGAAAUAUUAAAUGAAAAUCACCUUUCUUCAAUAGAUUUCUAUUCUUUUUGUUCGAAAGUUCUUUUAUAUUUUCUUUUGUUUUUGUGCGUGUGUAAAAAAAAGUACAAAGGAAUCAUCUUGGCUUUUAUAGCCGACGCUAAGAUCCAUUUUUGUUUGUUUUUGUUUUGUUUCUGCUGCCAUUUUGUCUUUUUCCUUGUUGUUUCUCGUACUACUUGCGUGUUGGUUUUGUUUUGUAGGUGUCAGAAGCGUGGUGAUGGCUUGCGGUUAUGAUGGCACGCUGAGGAGGAGCGGCAGUUGAAGCUCUUAGGGGGCUAGGGUUUUUCUUCUUCUUGUUUUGGCUGAAAGUGUUUAGUUUUGUGGGCUAGGGUUUAGUUGGGGUUAAUUUGGGUUUAUGGUUUAGGCUUGUAAAAUUGGGUUUGUUGGGCUUUGGGUUUUGAAUUUUGUAAAAGAGACUGGACUGUUAAAAUUUUUGGACUUUUAUUAUUAUUAUUGUGUUUGGGUUUUCUGACGGGAUGGGCAAAUUUGGGCCCAUACAAUGUUGAUAUGAAAAACAUUAUAGAACGUAAAUAUAAAGAUUUUUGUUUCUUUACAGGCCCUUCCAAAAGCUAACAAAGUCUUUACCGAUUUUCUCAGCGAAUAUGGAGUCUUCCCGGCAUUAGAAGAAGGCUUGGUUAAUGAUGAUUUCAAACUUUUGUCUAGCUUUCGUUUAGCUUUUGGAUUCUUCCAAGCUACCUUCAUGUUUAUCCAAUUUUUUUUCCAGUUGGUCAUGCCGAAACAACUCAAACAUAAAUACAUGUGAUGAUAUUUCAACCAUAUAAAAAAAUCCCGACACACGUGAGAAAGGACACGUGAUAUGUGUUCGAUGAAGUGGUAGAGCCAAGGGUGCUUAUUAAUGGAAAAAAAUUAUUUAGGCCCUUUAUAAUUUAUAAAAUUUUUAUAAUUUAUAAAAUUUUAAAUUAAUAAUUGUAAAAUUACACUUUAAUCCUAAAAAAGAUAAAAAUUUAAUUUAAUCCUUUAAAAAAGGAUAAAGAUAUAGACUAUUAAAAUGGUAAAAUUGUAUUCUUACUAUCCUAAAAAUAUACAAUUAAAUUUUGAACCCCAAAAUUAUUUUCUGGCUCCACCCCUAGUUAAAUCCAUAUGUGAAUUAAUAACACAUUAGCCCAAAUAAAUGUGAAUGAAUCCAUAUGUUUAAAAACGAUAAGGGUAAAUUACACUAUUAAUGCCUCAAUUAUGUGUCAUUUAGUUAAAAGAGUUACAAUUUGGAUACUAAUGUUUUCAAAAUUAUUUUUUUCACCCAACUAUUAAAUAGCUAACAAUCACACUUUUUUUAGUUAGUAUAAUGACAAUUUUAAUUCUUAGAUUUUAUACUUUCUUUCAAUUUAACCCUAAUUCUUUAUAAAAAUUAUUUUAAAAACUCAAUAUAUUAUUUUAAAAAAUAAAAAAUUCUAUAUAAAAAUUAUGGUUUCUGCAACAACAAAAUAUUCAGCAUUGCCAUAAAUCAUGAAAAUGGAUUAAAAAAGAGAGAUCAAUUUCAAUCUCUUAAUAUAAUAUUCAUUUUGUGCAAAGUUUGAAUGUGAUUAAAAACUAAUGUUCAUUCAAGAAAAACUUAAUAUUAUACUACAGUAAAGCUCAAGAUUGUUCAAUAUUGAGACAUAAGAAAGAAAAAGAUUAUUCAAUAGAAUCCAAUUACAAAUUUAAAACAAAAUAGGACCAAAUUAGUAAUACCUUCAAGUCAAGUUCCACUCUAUUGAAGAACUUCUUUCAAACUAAUCUCACUAAGACUUGUGAAAUUGACUUUGAUGCCAUUCUUUUAGUAAAAAAUACAAAAUAUACCAUAAAAUAUUCUUUUGUUGAUCUAAAACAGUUGCUAAGUAAUAAGCAAAGUAUAAGCAGAAGUGACUACAAAAGUGUGUACUUCUGCAAGCACUGCGAUAAGCAAAAAUAAAAUAGGAAACAUCAAAGUUUGUUUACGCAGCUCAAUUUCCAUGCAUUUGUGAAGGCUUGCUCAGUGAGAAGAAUCACUAUAUUUAAACAAUUACAACUAGUGAACCUAAAUGUAUCACACUCCAAUGAUGAUUCCUCACUCUUGUACCUUCGAAGACUAGAUCACUCACUACUAAAUUCUCCCUCAGAGAACUUAGUUUGCAAAACCACAAUACAGAAUUUUACAAUCACAAAUGCACUCUUGCAAAAUAAUGUUCCUCACUUGAACAUAUAAAUGCUCUUAAUUAAGAAUUUGUGCAUCAACCUAUACAAGUCUCUUAAUUACAUAGAGAUUUCGAGACUUGUUAACAUAAUGAAAAUCUAUCAAUCCUUACUAAACAACAACUAAAAUAGCUAAAUACAAUAUAAUAUUAACAACCACAAUAAACAUUGACAGUUGGCAGCUAACUCUUCACUUUUUUGAUCUGAUCCAACUUCCUUUAUCCAUAGGACUUGAUAUAAGCGAUCCAAUCCAACCCGACCCAAUCUUCUAAAUAAAUUUCUCCAAGUGAUAUGAUAUUUAUUGAUGAGCUUGAUUCAUCCCACAAUAUCAACUUAGCCCAAAGAUACGGAUCAAUAAAUUGCCAAUCUUCCAAAUAUAGCAAGUUGUUUUGUCAUAGUAGUUGGGGUAGUGGGCAAUUCCCAUAAUACAUUUCAACAACUUCAAAUAUUUCAACAUUUUUCAAAAUCCAAACCGAAAAAACAAAUCUUUUUUCUCAUUCUUUUUAGAUGAUGAAAAAUAAUUUCCUUAAUUUUCUCUCACUUAUCUAUUUUUUAAAAUUUUUUAUCUAUUUUUAUUAAUUUUCAAAUUUAUGUAUUUUUAAGAUUUUCUAAUUUAAAAAAAAAAACUCAAUUUUUUUAUUGAAUCAAGGGCAAAUUAAUAGUCUAGACACGUUUGGUAGGCUUGAUGUAAAAGAGGAGUGUUAUGUUAAAUAACACUCAACUCUAAAAAUGAUGGAUAAAAGAUCAAUGCUACUACAUCAAAUUGUUUGGUUAUUGAAAAUUGUGAUAUAUAUAUUACUUUUCUUACCAUGUGUUUUUCGAUACAAUAUUAAGGGUAGGAGAUGGGGGUAAGACGGUUCUCACUUGUGCCCAACAGGUGUUCGAUACAAUAUAUUAAUCUUCUUACCAUGUGUUUUCUAUAAGUUAAAACAUAAGUGUUGUUUAUUAAUUCAUCAUCUUACCCUUAGCAUCUUUUUUUAUAUAGUCUAAAAUAAAAUAUAAAAUAUAUUAUUUACAAAAUAUUUACAUUAAAAUAUAAUAAAAUAACAAAAUAAAAAAUAUUAUAACAAUUAAUUUUAUAAAAUAUUAAAACAAUAAAAUAAAAUUAUUAUUGUUUAAAAAUAAUAUAUUAUUAUUACUUUUUAAAAAAAUAAUAAAAAUAUUUGUAUAUUAAUUUAUAUAAAUAAAAAUAUUAAAAUAUAUGUUUUUAUAUUAAUAUUAAUAUAUUAAUGUAAAUAUUAAAAUGAAUAAUUUUAAUAUUAGUUUAAUAAACCCGAACAUGAACAUAAAACAGACAUAGAGAAUAACAAAAAAUAAAAUAAAAUAUUUAUAUAAUUUUAUAUUAAAUAUAUAAAAUAAUAAGACAUACUUUUUAAAAAAUAACUAGAUUUUCUAAAAGGAAAAAUAACUAGUUUUAACCUCUGCUUUCGUGGGGGUUUCUAAUUUUCUUUAUAAAAUUUUAGUUAGUUAAUGUAAAAAUUAAUUGUAAAUUAAAUUUUAUUAAUUAUAAAAAUUAAAAUUUUCUCAGAUCAAGUAUAAAUAUAAGUUAAUGCCUGACUUAACUUGUAGAUCAAUCACUUUAACUUGUAGAUCAAUCACUUUAAAUAAAUUAUUUAAAUAUAAAAAAACUCCUUACAUGUUUUUUUAUAUAUAUUGAAUAUUCACUUGUUGAAUAUCAAUUCCUUGAACAGAUGUAACUAAUAUUAGGUUGUUGCCCGACGUUUGUUUGUUUGUUUGAAACAAGGAUCAGUGGCUGGCAGUAGAGCUGAUAGAAUCAUUGCAAAAUUAUGUCUCCUUAACUCUCGAAGCUAAUAGUUUUCUUUGUUCUGCAAUAUACGUUAGUCCGCAUCCAAUAUGUUGAGAUGUAAGUUGUGGAGUUUUUUUUUGGAGAACUUGGCAAAGUCGGUUGUCGAACCUUGGGUUUUAGCUUGCGACUUUUAUGCGAUCUUGGAUGGCUCAGAAAGGAUCAAGGGUAGUCCAUCUUCGUGAGCGGGUUGCAAACAGUUUCAGUCGUUCAUUUUUUAAAGUGGGCUGCGCAAUUUGGGAUUUAGUGCCCACAAUUUACUUGGAGUAGAGGAAAUUUAUCACAGCGUUUGGAUAGGGCUAUUUGUAAUUUGGCUUGGGAUUCGUUUCUGCCUAGUUCUUUGAUGCGUAAAUCUUCACUAUUUGAAGUCGGGUCAUCGUUCGAUUCUGCUUUCGCUUUGUCCUACGCAAAACAAAGGUAAUAGGCCAUUAAGAUGUAUAGCAAGUUCGAUGUUACAUGCUGAAUUCAAGUCUCUUGCCAAGAUUGUUGGAAAAAUGAGUAGGUGGGGUUGAACUUAGAGCGAUUCCAGGAGGUGGUUUAGGUAUGGAUGAUAACAUCUUUGUGCAGAAUAGGAAGCUAGUGUCAGAACUAGAGUGGGUGCAAAGAGUAUUGGAUUUGGGACCUUCAUUGAGAAUCCGAGCUUGUGAAUUAGAAUUGCGCCAUGUAACCUCCCCAACUCAGCUUAGACGUUAGACCCGAAUUUGAAAGAUUAUAUUGGCCACUGAGAUGGCCUAAACAGAGUUAUUGGAGUUUUAAAAUGGUCAAUUUUAAAACUCUUGUUUAUUUUAGAAGAAAAAUUAGUUUAUUUUCGGAAAGCCAUAUGAGUUAGUAAUAACUGAUUUUUUUAAUGUAUUUCAUGUAACGGUGUCCAUCUUAGUUAAUUUAUUAUCUUUCCAAAACUUAUUUUCAACUUUAACAGCGAAAAAGUUAUAUUAACGUAAUUUUAAUAAAAAUCAUGCUUCAUACAUAAUUAAAUAAAAAUUCAUAUUCUACUAGCUUAAAUGGUUUAUAUGUCAUGCAUGCCUAAGUAAAAAUCAUAAACUAAGUCUCGUGCCACAAUUCAAAAUAAAAUAUUACAGUCUUUAAAUAAUAAUAAAAUUUCAAAUAUAAACUUAAAAAUAUUUAUUAAAAUCAAGUUGGGCACCUCUGAAUGUCGAGUCUACGUCCUAACCUUGCAGGCUAUCUAAAAAGAUAGGAAUAAAAAGGGAGUGAGCUAUGAAGCUUAAUGUGAUUUCCAUCACAAGAAAAAUCGGUGCAAACCAUAGACAAAUCUACAGAAAAUUAAUUCAUUAAUUACAUGACAUUUACUUAGUCAGAUAGAAUAUCGAUAAUUCAGAAUACCAAUCAACAUAACAACUCAAUGUUUGUAGCCAUGUAAUUGCUUAUGAAUGCAAUGCAAGUUCGAUUUAAUAGUAAAAAGGUCUUACCUUACCAUUAUACACCAAAAUAGGAGUUCCCUAGAACUCCUCUACCUUCACACCACAUUGUGGAUAAACCAUUGAUCGUUGCAGAUAAUUGCUAACGAUAAGAUAUUAGUGGAUGAACCAUCCGUCGGUGCAGAAAAAAGCUGCUAGUACGUUGUAGAUGAACCACUAGUCGUGCAAGUGACUACCGACUAGGAUACAUUGUUGAUAAACCACUAGUCAAACAGAUAAAUUGUCGACUACUUCCUUGUUCAAAUCAUCUCACCCCAUACAAUGCAUCAAGACAUGUUAUACAAUUCAAUAUGGUAGCAAAUAGUUUGCUUUUAACAAAUCAAUUCAAUCACAAAAGUCAUGCUUACUAAGCAUUCGAUUUAAUAGUAGCAUAAGGUAUGCUUAAAACGGAUUGAAAACCGAUAUGGCAGCAAUAUUUAUGUUCUCAACUAAUCGAUACGGUGGCCAAACAUAUACUUUUCAAAAAGAAUCCAAUCUAACGAUAUCUUAAAACAUGUUAUACAAAUAUCAACAAAUAAAGAUUCAAUCAACACAAUUAUACACAAUUUAUGCAAGUACAAACUAAUAAAAAAAUAAUUCAGUCAAUUAGGGCAUGUAUUAUAGCAUUAUUUAUGUUAUUAGGGGCUUAAUUGAAUAAAUUAAACACUAAAAAUAAUUUGGGAACCAAUUAAGGACUAAAUUGUGCAGUUUGAAAAAAGUUUGGGUUAAAAUUGUAAGGAUAUAUUAUAGGGGACACACGGUCGUGUGGGUCACAUGGGCGUGUGGUCUGGGCUGGGUUCGAUUUUGCCCCAAUUUUCUAACAAAAGAACACACAUAUAACUUUUGAGGUCUCGUACGAUGAUCCUUAUGUCCAAAAUUGGUCUGGGAUACCUACAAUGGGUCUUUCAAUCGACGAAAAUGUAAUAAUUACUAUUGAUGUUUAAGAUUUAUUGAGUUUUAACAAGAUUUCAGGAAAACCCAUCAAAGAUUCAGAAUUGAUUUUAGAAAAAUUAUCAAGAACGAUAUUAUACUAGAUUUCUAGGGUUCUACAAAAUUAAAAAUAGGAAUUCUUACUGAUCUUGGCAUGUUAGAAACAGAUUUUGAUGGCUUUACACUAAAACAUUAUGAAGAACAGAUUGAACGAGGUUGAUUUUGUGUACAGGAUUUGAAUAUAACAUUUUCAACAAAAGAUGAUGAACAUUUUUAUGAAAAAGAGAAGAAGUAAUAAAAAAAAAGAUGUAUUUAAAAAGGAGGGAAAAAUAAAUUCUAAUUAGGUUUGAAAAGAUAGCCAAAAUCCUAAUAUAACUAGGAAAUGACUUAAAAGGCUAAGUUAUGCAAAUUUUAGGGGCUGUUUUGGCAAAUAAACCUUCAUGUUGAAAUUUAAAACAAAAGGAAGGGAAUUGGCAUGGAUAGAACUUAAGACUUUAAAGAGGAUGGGGUAAUGCUUAGCCAUUGGUCUAUUGCACAUUUCUUAAAUAUUUUCUACCACAUUUAUUUUUUAUACUAACUUAGUUUUCAUCCUUAAUUGCUGAAAAAUAAAAAGGAAAAAUGCAAAAGGUGGGUUAGUGAAACCUAAAGGGGUCAUAUUGUGAUUUUUGAGUUAAGAUUAGGAAAUUAUGCUAUGUAAUUUGUUCUAGUUAAGUGGUUAAGGGUUGUGCUUGAGUGAGAAAGGUUUUAGGUUUGAAUCCUUUCGCUUCUAUUUUUGUAAAUUUUGUCUAAAUCCCUAGUUUUUGGUAUUUGGUUUAAGAAAUAUUUGGGUGCAUCUAUUAAUAAGAAUGAGUCUAUUGGUUCAAUGGUAAGAUGUUAGCUUACCUUUUGGUCUUGUGUUCAAAUCCAUUCAUGCUUUUUUUCUCUCUUUUUUUUUUCUUUUGUUAAUUUGUGUAUCAUUCGUCCUUUGUGCUAUCAGUUUUAGUCAUUAAGGGUAAGGUUGCUUCAUUCUCCAUUUUUCCAGUCAUGUAUUGAAAUUAUUUCACUUGGCGUUUGAGGUUUCAGAGCUUUAGUAGUGUGGUAUUAAUAUGUGUUUUGUGUACUUAAUGAGUUUGAUGCAUUUUUAGAAGAAGAACGAGAGGUGUUGAGUGUUCCUUCGACAACUUAGAUAUUGUUGUUGUUUUCUUUAUGGUAGGUGCUUUAAUGUUAUGUUAGUGAGUCAAUCUUGAUUUAGUGUUGCAUUUUGUUACUAAUUAGAUACGUUUGGUAUAUUGCUUUUAGGUUCUGGUGUGUUUUUUCGUGAAUCUACAUCAAAAUCAGCAAUCAGGCGUGCGAUCUAACUCGAAAAACUCGUCGAAAAUUCAAAAAAUGCAAAACAAGAUCGACUGAAAUGCUUCAAUUCCACUAGUACUGAAAACUGAUACCUUUGUUGACGAAAGCGUAACCGAAAUCGAACAAGACGUAUUAAAACAGUAGAGAACGUAACACAAAAUUGGUGUCAAGAGAACUGAUUUUCAGAAGCAAUCGUUCAAUUUUGAAAAUUAGAAGAAAGAAAACAAGAUUGUCUAGUCAAAAGAAAGAAGAGAAAAGAAAACAAAAAUAGAAAAUGUGGGAUGGGGAAAAAAACAAAACGUGCAACAUUUGGGGGACUUUUUCUUUCCAACACAAAAUUAAAAUAAUAAAACUAAAAAUAAUAACUAUUUUAAUACUCAAAAACAAAAAUUACUUCCUUAAAGCACAUAUGAGGAUUCGAACCCAAAACCUAGAGGUAAAUCAACACAUAACCAACUACUGAACCAACAGGCUCAUUCUAACAUUAAAACGCGACUACAGACUCAACUACUCAGCCUACUCACUGACCCUACUACAAACCCCAAAACUUCUAACCCCAAAUUUCGGGAUGUUACAGUUAAACCGCAAUAUAUAUUUGGCAGCUCAGCUGCACUAUUAUGAGUGGCAUACCACCACGAUCUGGUGUGAUUUGGAUGAAUGGACUAUUGAAGUCCUAAUUGGUGUGAUUGGUUGGACGGAGUUGGUAUGUAGCAAAUAGAGGUAAGAUUUGUGUCUGCACUUGUUCUGAUUUGGUAUGACAUAUGUACUUAUGAAAACAUGACAUUCUGGUAUGAUAUAUUUGUAUAUUAAAUUAAGAUAUUCCAAACCAAAAUAUGUUCCAGUUAUAUGAUAUUAUGAUCUAAAAUAUAUAUAUGUUUCUGGUAAUACAACAUUCUGAUAUGUUAUUGAUACAUUAAAGUAAAAUUUUGUGAUCACAUUUAUGUAUGUGCUUGUUAAAUAAAAUUAUACUUGUGGGUUGAGGUACACACUAUGCUCCUAGCUCAUUUGUAUGUUUAAUAUGUUUCAGGUUAACUUCUAACUCAGGACCGUACGGCGUGCGGGAGCUCGAAUUGGUUACCAAAUAAAAUAUUUGUGGGUUUAUGAUUUAAUUAAUUUUGGACUGUAAUAUGUUUUUGGUCUUCGUUUUAUUCGUCGACAUUUAAUAUUUUUGAGCAUUAAACUGCAAAUCACACGAGCUAACAAGUUAGAUUUUGGUUUUCAAAACUAAAACAAACUUUGAAAAUAUUCCGCUGCAAGGUUAAGUAAUCAUUUAAAUACUUUUUGAAAAUAAAAUAUAUGGUUUGUAACGAAUAAUUUUUUUAAUACUGGAAAUGAUCACCUCAUGUUAGUACUUUCAAAACGUGUGAUUUUGAAUGUGAAUUAUGGGUUUUAAAUAAGUGUUUUCGAACACAGUUUUUCUAACCAUCUAUCGGUGUUUUGUCAAAAUUUUAUGUUUUCGAAGCAUGCAUUGAGUUUGAUUUGAACCGAAGCUUUGAACGAGUUGAUGUAAUCCUUUAGUAUCUAGUCAUAACUUCUAGGCCGGGUUUUGAGGUGUUACAACCCAAGCAUGUUGUUCUUUUUAGACUUCAGUUGAAUCCCUAUCAAGCCCACCAAAAUUUCUUCUUAACCAACUCAUAUCUAUCUAGGCUCCAAAGUCGUCUCUAGAACCCUUCUUAAAAGUUCCUCGCGUACGUCUCUCCAAUCGACUGCUUGAACUGACACAGUCACUUCCAGCCCAUCCACCGGUAACCUAAGCUAUAGUUGCAUGUCCUCCAAAGUGAUAGUACACACACUGCAUGGAAGGUGAAAUGUGUGCGUCUCUAGUCUCCACCUUUUCACCAACGCGUUUAAGAGUGUCGGGUCCAACUUACACCCCUUACCUACAAGCGCCACGUGCAAAAAUCGACGUCUCCAAAAUUUGAUAUUCUUCCUAUUGAGGUAAAAAAUAUACAAAAUAUUAAAUUCAAAUAUAAUAACAAAAUAGUAAAAUUAAACAACAUUGAAAUAUAAUAAAAAAUAUUCUUACCAUUUACAAUCGGUCGACGAAAAUGUGGUUGUCAUCAAAACGAAUUAGAGAUUUUGUUAUUGCUAAUUUCGAAAAACGCUAAAUAAUUUGUAAUAGAAAAAUAAUUUAUGAAAAUAUUAAGAUAAUUUUAAUAAAAAGUAAAGUUGAGAGAGAAAUAAUUUUUGAGUGGGAAUUGAAGAGGGAAUUUAGAAAAAUUUGAGAGAGAUUUAAGAAUGUGAGAGAGAGUUGAGAUAGAAUUGGAAGAAAACUGAAAUGAGGAGGGGUUAUAUAAGAAAUAAAAUGGGACCGUAAGGGGUGAGUGGGGGGUCCAAUGGCUAAUUAAAUAGUCGUUGGAGAAAGUAAUCAUUGGAGUUAUCGUUGGGAGAAAACGCUUCUAGCUAGAAGCUUUUUCAGUUGAUUUGGAAGAAAGCACUCUCAGUUGGAAGUGUUUUUCGGGCAACACAUUGAAAAUGCUUCGAACUAGAAGCGCUUUUCUGUAAAUUAGCUAAAAACACUUAUAGCUGGGAUUGUUUUUGUAAAAUUGACCUACUCCUAUAAUUUUUACAAAGACGACCUAUUCAAGUAAUUUUGCUUUUAGGCAUUUUUGGAUAAUUUAGUCCAAAUCCAUAAUUUUGACAUUGGAAUUUUUGAAAGUCUAUGGUAUGAGUUUGAAAUUUCAAAAACUCUAUUGUUAUUUAUAGUGAAUUUUGAGGAAAAGAACUUUCUAUAUAAUAAAAAAAAAAUUAACAAGUAUACUUAUGUUUGUCUCUAAAAUUUGCAAACAAAUAAAUAAUAGAAAAUACACCUUAAAUGUAUAAAAAUGAAUAAAGAAAAACCAUUUUCAUUUCUAAUAACAAAUGAAAAUUAAGAACAAGAAACUGAAGAAAAGUAGAUAUUUUAAAUGUAGUGAAAAUCAUCAUAUAAAUAAUUAAAACAAAUCAAUUAUUGAAACUUGAUGGAAAAUAUAUGACACAAAGACUUUCACUUUUUUCUAAGUCGUCCUCUAUCAUUUCAUGUCAUGUGGCUGUUAAUUCCCAAACAAAUGCAUGGGUCAUUGGCAAACCAAUUAGCACCAACUUGUUGCAAAGGAAGAUUCCCCUUUCCUUUUCAAUCCACUAAAAUACAAUUGAGAAAAAAAAUCCUCAUAAUUUAGAUCCAAUACUGCACUAAUCUCAUAACACAAAUCCUUUGGCUAAUAAACAAAGAAAACCCAGUUGUGUUAGAGUUUAUGCUUUCCAAGUGGUUGAAUCUUCCAGGCAGAUAAACUUUCAGAUUCCAUUUCUGUCUGAAAGUUUCUCCUUAUUUUAGUUCAACCUUGAUUUCUAUUUUGUUCCUUUUUCUUCUUCUUUUUUUUUUUAAUUUCCCUUUCUUCAAGUUCCUUUCUUUUUGUAUUAAGUUCUACUUACUUUUGCUCAAAAAAAAAGAAAAAAAAAAACCAACCUUCAAAUCCCUUUUGAUUAAUUUGAAGUAGUAAGAAUCUUCUCAAGACUAAGUGUAGUUUGAUUAAUUCUGAAGUUCCCAAUUGAGGUAAAUCUAUUUACAUUUGUGUUUAUAGGGUUUAGGGUUAAUUUCGAGGAAUGAAAAUUUGAACUCACUUUGUAUAAACUAUGAAAUUUUGAUCUUAUUUAUUGUUAAUUUCGAGGAAUGGAAAUUUUAACAUUUCUAAAAACAAAUGAAAAUUAAGAAAAAAUAUAUCAUACAAAUAAUUGAAACACCUCUUCAAAUAAAUUACCAAAUCCACUAAAGCAAUCACCAAAACUUCAAGAGCAUAGAUUUGUUCUUUUGUACCAUAUAAUCCUAAUAACUCUCAUUCUAAAUUGAUGGAUUAACUUUAAAUCAUUUUUAUUAUAUUUUUAAAUCAAUUAAGUUUUUCUUACUAAAAUUAUUAAUUUAAUGGUAAAUUUUUUUUCCAAUUUCUCUCAAAUUUGAAUUUGAGUAAAUUAGUCUCAUUAGAAAAAAUUGGAGUAACUUAAUCCCUUUACAAUUUUGAAUUUGAACAAAUUAGUCUAUCUCAAAAAAGAAAUUGGAGCAAUUUAAUCAUUAUCAAUUUUGAAAGUGAGUAACUAAGGACAAUUAAUCUCACUGUUAAUGUUUUUCAUCAAUUAUGCAUAAUUUUGAUUGGUAUAAUAACAAAUUUAGCCAUUGGUGUUUACAUAUUUUGUUAGUUUGGUCUUGAUUGUAAAAAGACCAACAAAUUCAGUCUCAACAUUUACACAUUUACAAAUAUAGGGGUUAAAUUUGUUAAAUCAUAAUUAAAUUGAUAGAAUGCUUUAGUUCCUCACUUUCUAAAUUGAUUCAAUUUUUAAGAGAGACCAAUUUGCUCGAUAUCAAAAUUGAUAGGGACUAGAGAGGUCAUCUUACCCAGUUUAAUCAUUAAAUGAUAUGUUACAUCUAAUAUGACAUAAUUUAAAAUGAAAAUUAAAAGAAUGAAUAUUGUAAAAGUAGAUGUUUUAAAAACCUUAGUUUUCAAGUUUUCGAAAUUUUUACAGAAGCAUUAUCAUUAAAUUUUUUUUAAAGUUUAGUUUUACUUAAAUUUUUUAAUGUUAAAAGUUAAAUAACAUUUAACUACAUAAGAUCUAAUGCGUGAUUUAAAGAUUGAAAUAACAAAAAUGACCUGAAUGAUAUAAUAUCGAUAAUUUAGAUCCCAACUUCAACAAUGCCUUGUUAAAAGUUAAGUAACAUGCCUUGUUGGUCUUUUUUGCAAACCAAUCAGUACCAACUUCAACAAUUUAGAUCUCAAUAUUGCAGUAAUUUCAGAACACGAAUCCUUCGGCUACAAGAAAACUCAGUUUUUAGUGGCGGAGCAUUGUAGAAAUUCAGGGGUCAUACUGAAAUAGUAAAAUUUUCCGAGCGGUUGAAUUUUCCAGGCAGAUAAACUUCAAUUUCUACUUGUUUAUUUUCCCCCUUUCUUCGAGUUCCUUUCUUUUUGUAUUCAGUUUUACUUACUUUUGCUAUAAAAAAAAAAACCAACCUUCAAAUCCCUUAUGAUUGUUUUGAAGUAAGAAUCUUCUGAGCACUAAGUGUAUUUUGAUUUUAAAAGUUCCCAAGUGAGGUAAAUCUAUUUAUAUAUGCUUCAUUUCUGUUUUUUAUAUAUAAAUUGUUCUCAUCUUUUUAUAUUUUUGUUGAAGCAAGUAAGAGCUAAAAGACUGUUUGGAUUUUGAAAUGGUAAGUGGAUAUGUUUAUUAUAUUUUCCAGCAUUAUACGUAUAAUAUUAUUAGUUUGAGGGUACAAAUAUUUUGAUUUAUUAUUUUUAUAAGUAAUUAACUGUCUUUUUUAGUUAUAAUUAUAUGACAUUACACUCCUAUAUGAUUUUAUUUGUUUAUUAAAUUUCUCAUUGUGUUUUUAUUUGUUGAAAAAACAGCACAUUUUGUGUUGUGCUUUCAGUUAGAAUGAGUUGAAAGAACAGCCCAUUGAUUCUCAUAGUUUGAGUUGUCUUUCACCUUCCUUGGUAUGUAUAAGAAGUAGUAUCUUAAUCUUCAAAAUACUUUUUGAUUCUUUAAUUUUUUUUAAUGGUAAUUACUUGUGAUUCACUGCGGUGUUUGAACUAGGAACAUCAUCAUAUUCUUCAAUUUGAGCUUGUCAAGCAUGGGUUGCGGAUUUUGUGGGGCUGCUCUUCCUAACAUCUUUGCAACACUGGUUGUGGACUGUGUGGUGAAGCCGCUAGUACGUUAAUUUGAUUAUGUCCGUCACUUUCAUGACAAUGUUGAAAAGCUCCGAGAGAAAAAGCAUGAACUUGCAGAUGCACGAGCUCGUCUACUACAUAAGAUUAAGGAUGCUAAAAGCCAGCUUCUACAAAUUGAAAAUGAUGUACAAAACUUGCAAUCAAGGGCAGACGAAACACUGUCGGAUAUGGGAACUCUGGAAGAGGAAAUCCAACUGAAUAAGAGGUGUCUCAAUUGGUGUCCUAAUUGUAGUUGGAGAUAUCAAUUAAGCAAGAAAGCAAUGAAGAAAAUCCAGGAUAUCUCUGAGCUUUUGAACAAAUUUGUCAACUUGGACCAGUCAGUUACCGUGCUCCUCUGCCCUUCCCACUGUAGGCUUCCUGUGUUCUAAGGAAUUUGUGGUUUCGAAAUCUUCGAAGGCUGCUUUCAAACAAAUCAUUGAAGCCUUAAAAUAUGAGAAUAUCGACAUGAUUGGGUUGUGGGGGAUGGGAGGGUGUUGAAGCUGAUCUCCAUGCAGCUGGUAUGAAGAAUGUGUAGCUAGAAGUUGGCCAUGCAAGCUCGUGACAAGCAUGCAGCAACUUUGGUUUCUUAUUGCUGUUGGAUUUGAACUAAUGUUUUGUUAUUUUGUAAUCUAGUUUGUAUCUUCAACUUAGUUGGUAAUUUUUUGAUGUAAUCCAUUGAUUGAUUGAUUAAUUGAAAUUUUAGCAAUACAACUUGGACGAUUAACUUAGCUAUUUUCAAUGUAAUAGAAUGGGGUUAGGUAUGUAAUUUGGUAGUCUUUUUGACUUGUACACUUCAUCUUUAGUUUUUCAUAUGUAAUGGAAAUAUGCUGAUGAUGUAUUAUGUAAUUACACAUCUUUUUCAUCAAGUUUUCUCAACUAAUUCCAUUGCUUCUUCUUCUGUUUUCUUUCUUCUUCUUUUCUUUUUGCUCGAAUUCUUCUUGCUUGGUUAGCAAGAAUCGUGACUUGCUGCUAAAGCUAUAGCUGGACCAGUUUCUUGCACGCUCAUUGACACCAACAAUUGGUAUCUAGAGCCUUUGUCUUAGAAGACCUGUGGUGUGUAAACCAUAACUCAAAUGGCUUCCUCAAGUUUUUCUCCUGCAGCUCCACUAGUCUUUAGUGGUGAAGGCUUCCAUAUUUGGCUGGUCAAGAUGAAAACAUACCUUCAGGCGUUUGAUCUGUGGGAAGUGGUGAACUCGGAUGCUGAGCCUACUCCAUUGAGGGCCAAUCCCACUGUGGCUCAGAUGAGGCAACAUGUAGAUGAGAGGACCAAGAGGCAAAAGGUCAUGUCCUGUAUUCAGAACUCUGUUUCUGAUGUGAUCUUCACCAGGAUCAUGACAUAUGAGACCCCGAAGCAGGCUUGGGACAAGCUGAAGGAGGAAUUCCAAGGCACUGAGAGGACUAGGCAGCAACAGCUUCUAAAUUUGAGAAGGGAUUUCGAGAAUUUGAAAAUGAAAGAAGAGGAAACUGUCAAGCAAUACUCUGAUAGGAUAAUGGCUAUUGUAAACAGUAUAAGGCUCCUUGGUGAGCAGUUUGAUGAAGUAAGGAUAGUUGAGAAGGUUCUCUCUACUUUACCAGAGAUAUAUGAAGCAAAAAUAUCCUCCUUAGAGGACUCGAAGGACUUGACAAGGAUCUCCCUGACUGAGCUUAUCAAUGCUCUCUAUGCUCAAGAGCAAAGAAGAGCCAGCAGGAUAGAGGAGCAUCAGGAGGGUGCAUUUCAGGCCAAAGUCAAGCCUAACUCGAGUAAUGCUGCCUAAAAAGGCAAGAAGAAUUGGAGGGAUAGGUCCAAAAUAGAUGCUCCAAGAAAAUGGGAUAGACCGUGCAGGCAUUGCAAGAAGCCUGGUCAUCCAGAGGCAAAAUGCUGGUUCAAGCCAGAUGCCAUAUGUCAACAUUGCAAGAAAAUAGGCCAUGUUAAAAAGGUGUGCAAAGAAAAAGACAGACCUGGUCAGAAUCAACCACAACAUAAGGCUGCUGAGGCUCGUGUAGCUGAACAAGGCAGUGAUAGUGAAGAACAAGUGUUUGCAGUCUCAUGCUUAGCUGAAAAAUGGAAGGUUACAAAAGGGUGGCUCCUUGACAGUGGCUGCACCAACCACAUGUCACCAGAUGCAUCAAUCUUCAAAUCUUUAGACAGAAGCUGUAAGACUAGAGUAAAAAUUGGAAAUGAACAAUGUAUUCAGGCAGAGGGCAAAGGUAAUGUGAUGAUAUGCACUCCAUCAGGUAACAAACUCAUAUCAGAUGUAUUGCUUGUACCUGAAAUCGAUAGAAAUUUGUUGAGCAUAGCUCAACUACUUGAGAGAGGAUAUACAGUGCUCUUUAAAGGAAAUAAGUGCCAGAUUAGUGACCAAAAAGGGUCCAUACUCAUGACAGUAGCCAUGACUGACAAGAUUUUUAUUGUGGACUGGAACAAUGGGCUAGAUAGCGUCUAUGCUGCUUCCAUAGAAGAAUCCAAGCUUUGGCAUCAAAGGCUUGGUUAUGCCAACUUUAAAUCAAUGGCCCGAAUGAUUAGCAAGGAUAUGGCUGAAAAUUUCAUCAAAUUAGUCCAAAAUGAAGAUGUUUGUGAAGUUUGUCAGUUGGGAAAGCAAGCCAGGCUUCCAUUUCCUACAAGAACAGCUUGGAGAGCCUCAGAGAAGCUUCAAUUAGUGCACACUAAUGUGUGUGGCCCCAUGAAGAUCGAGUCACUCAAUGGCAACAGGUACUUCAUUCUUUUCAUUGAUGAUAGUACCAGAUACUGCUGGAUUUACUUCUUAAAGAACAAGUCUGAAGUAGUUCAAGCCUUCCUGAAGUUCAAAACAGCAGCUGAGACAGAGACUGGCUGUACACUAAGGUCAAAAAGAUCAGACAAUGGGACUGAAUAUACUUCAGUUCAGUUCCAAGACAUUUCUGCAAGAGCUAGCAUCAAACAUCAACUAACAAAUGUGUACACACCUCAACAAAAUGGGGUAAGUGAAAGAAAAAAUAGAAGCCUGCUAGAUAUGGCCAGAUGCAUGAUAUUUGAGAAGAAUUUGCUCAAAAACUUAUGGGCUGAGGCAGUUAACACUGUUGUUUAUGUUCAAAAUAGACUUCCAACCAAAGCCUUAGAGCAAAAGACUCCAUUUGAGGCCUGGUUUGGAUUCAAGCCAUCACUGGCUCACUUAAGAAUCUGUGGUUGUUUAUGUUUUUCACAAAUACCAGCUGUUAAAAUAAGUAAGUUAGACAAAAAAGCACAAGCAGGCAUCUUGGUAGGUUAUAGCUCAGAGAAAAAGGGCUACAGGAUUUUGGAUCCUUCAACGAACAAGGUUUUUGCAAGUAGAGAUGUUGUGUUCAAUGAAAGAGCAAGCUGGAAUUGGGACAAGAAUGAACCUGAGGCUGUCUCUGAAGAUCUUGUGUUUGAUCAGAUUGAGCCAGAACAAAAUGAUCCAGAUAUGGAUUUUGAUGAUGUACCAAUCAGAGGUACCCGAUCUUUGGCUGAAAUCUAUGAGAGGGCACAUGUAGCCUUAGUAGAGCCAACAUGUUUUGAAGAGGCUGCAAUGCAUGAAGGCUGGAAACAGGCAAUGGCAGAUGAAAUUGCCAUGAUCGAAAAGAACCAAACUUGGGAGCUGGUUGAGAAGCCUGCUAACAGGAAAAUUAUUGGAGUGAGAUGGGUCUACAAGGCAAAGCAGAAUGCUGAUGGAAGUUUGAAUAAACUGAAGGCUAGUGUAACACCCCUAGCCCGAGUCCGAUCACCGGUUUAGGCUAUGAGGUAUUACCAAGCUAAACAUUUAAUUUCAGGCACAUAAUCUAUCAACAAAAGCAGAAAUCGAACUGAAUACAUACAGAUUUAUAAGUUAUAAAUGCCAAUUUCAUAUGGCCAAAAUAUUUACAAUACAAAACAUAACUAUCACCAGCCUAACCUAUACAUAUUUAUUUACAAUGAAUUCAAUUCACAUAACAUCUCAAAAUUUUGGUUCAUUUACUCAUUCGAAUGGUGAUAUGCCAUGCACCAACUAUAUAACUUUUUGCUAUAAGCUUGAAGCAUAAUUUAUUCGUCAUACAGCUAUAUUCAAAAGAAUCAAUUAAGUAUAGUACAGUUAUUAUUCACAUAUUAAGACAUUAUCAAGAUGUACUAAAUGUGACUAUCCGAACUUACCUCGGUAUAUUGGGACGGUUGUGGAUUGACUACUCUAUAGCUUUCUCUUUUCCCUUAUCCAACUUUGAUCCCCCUUGCUCUUGAGCUUAAUAAAUACAAAUAGAGGUGUUUAAUAUUUUGACCAAUUCUGUUUACUUAUUAUUCACAUUCGGUAAUCACAUAUCAAACUCGUUAUGUAUUAUAUUUUGUAAAUAUGCCAUAGUUCAAUUUCAUAUAUAUAUUCAUGACCAAAAAUGGCAAGAAUUUAUCAGGCCAUGAAAGUCACUUAUAACUCAAACUCAAAAUGACCAUAUGACAUUAAUAAACGAUUAUUCAACUUAUACCAAUUUCACAUUCACAAGCCAAACUCACAUAGCCUAUCUUUUUCUUUUUUUAUACACUAGUUUAACUACUACAAUAUUACCAAAUAAAUCACAUAUAUGCAGCACUAUACAAUUCACAUAUACAUCAACUAUCAAAAUUUUCACUCCUUAGCUAAUGCCGAAACAUUUGUUUAAAGAGGACCUAGCCGAACACCCUACUUAGUAAAAAGAAUCAUACAAAACACUAAUAGCCAACUCAAAUUCAUCUUUAAUAACUCUUCUUUAAUCAAGCACAUAUUCGGCAAGAACAUUGGUAAUUUAACAAAUUUUAAUUUAACACCUAAUUCUUUAUAACACAUUUUAAGCACCCCUUUUUACUCCAUCAAUUUUAAGCAUAUACAUUACUCAAACAUAACCAAAUUCACAUUCGGUCAUAGCACAUAACAAGAUAGCCGAUUAUUUUCCCUUAGCAUCUAAUGCUCCCAUAUGAUCAUUUGUAUAGUUCAAACACUCAUCUACCAUUAUUCAUCUAAAUUUACAUGAAACAACAACCAUAACCUUUAUUAACUACUAUGGCUGAAAGCUCUAAUCAUUCCCAAAAUAAAAAAUUCAACAUGGGUUACAAAAAGAACUUGGUAUCUAACUCAAGAUUAACCAAAAUUUCAAGAAUUAACAUAAACUUCUCACCUUAAUGUAGACCUAAGAUGACCGAAUGGCUUUUCUCCCCUCUUCCUCUUUACAUUCGGCCAAGAAGAACAAAGAUGAAGCUUUGUUUUCAUUACCCAUUUUCCUUAUUAUUAUUAUUAUUAUUAUUAUUAUUAUUAUUAUUAUUAUUAUUAUUAUUAUUAUUAUUCCUUUAUUUUAUAUAAAGCAUAAAACCAUUUAACUAAAAAUUAAUACAUAUUUUAAUAUGAAAUCAUCAUCAUAGCCGGCCACUAUUAACAAAAAGGGGUAUUUGACAUGCAAGUCCAAGUUUUUAUAACAUGCAUUAAUGGACCACUUUUAAAAUUACCUAUCACAUUUCACAAUUGUCUCACAUAAGUACUAUUAAAUAAAUUCACAUUCAAAUGGAUAAAUUAAAGAUUGGAACUUUCACACAUGCAUGUUCACGCACAAUAAGUAUAGAAAAUAAUGGUUAAUUAUUUUUAUGACUCGGUUUUGUGGUCCCGAACCCACUUUCCGACUAGGGUCAAUUUAGGGCUGUCACAGCUAGGCUGGUGGUAAAAGGAUUCAGUCAAAAAUAUGGACUGGAUUACUUUGAAACAUAUGCUCCUGUUGCCAGACUAGAUACAAUCAAGCUGAUUGUUGGGUUUGCAGCUCAGAUGAACUGGAACAUACAUCAACUUGAUGUAAAAUCAGCUUUUCUAAAUGGAAUCCUUGAAGAGGAGAUCUAUGUCGAGCAACCAAAGGGAUUUAAAGUACCAGGGAAGGAAGACUUGGUUCACAGACUAAGGAAUGCCUUAUAUGGCCUAAAACAAGCCCCCAGAGCAUGGUAUGCUCGAAUUGACUCUUAUCUGCUCAGUUUGAAGUUCGAAAGAAGUGCUAGUGAGCCAACAUUGUAUGUCAAGAAAAACAAAACUGAAACUCAGCUUAUGGUGUCAUUGUAUGUGGAUGACUUAUUGGUGACAAGAGGAGAUGAAGUUGAUUUGGCAGAAUUCAAGACAAAGAUUAUGCAAACGUUCAAAAUAACUGACCUGGGGCUGAUGACAUACUUCCUAGGAAUGGAAGUAAGCCAGAAACAAGGAAGAAUCUUCUUGAAUUAGAAGUCAUUUGCAUUGGAAGUGUUGACAAAGUUUUCAAUGCUUAAUUGUAAGCCAACUCCUACACCUAUUGUAGCUGGGUUAAAAUUAUCAAGCCAAGAGGGUCAUGAAGAAGGCUGUAAAACUACCUAUAGAAGCUUGAUUGGUUGUCUCUUAUACUUGACUGCAACGAGACCAGAGAUCAUGUAUGCAGUAAGUUUACUUUCUAGAUUCAUGCACUGCUGCAAUGUACAACAUUUUCAAGCUGCAAAACGAGUACUGAGAUACAUUAAAGGUACUCUAAGUUAUGGUCUCCUAUUUAGCAAGGCUAAGGAACUGAAAUUGAAAGGGUAUACAGAUAGUGAUUGGGCUGGUUCCAAUGACGACAUGAAAAGUACAUCGGGGUAUGCCUUCACAUUGGGGUCAGCAAUGGUCUGUUAGAGUUCGAAAAAGCAGUCUUUAGUGGCUCAAUCGAUAGCUGAGGCUGAAUAUGUAGCUGCUGCUAGUGCAGUAAAUCAAGCCAUUUGGCUAAGGAAAAUCUUAUCAGAUUUGAACCUUUAUCAAAAGGAAGCAACAGAGAUACUUUGUGACAACAAGUCUGCUGUUGCAAUUGCAAAGAACCUUGUCUUCCAUGGUAGAACUAAGCACUUUGACAUAAAGUUGCAUGUGAUAAGGGAAAUGGAGCAAGCUUGUGAAAUAAAGCUGGUUCAUUGCAAUUCGGAGGAUCAAACCGCUGACAUUUUGACCAAGGGUCUUUGUGCAUCGAAAUUUAACAAGCUAAGAAGACUUAUGGGUGUUUGCAGCAUGGAGCUCAAGGAGAAAUGUUGAAGCUGAUCUCCAUGCAGCUGGUAUGAAGAAUGUGCAGCUGGAAGUUGGCCAUGCAAGCUCGUGACAAGCAUGCAGCAACUUUGGUUUCUUGUUGCUGUUGGAUUUGAACUAAUGUUUUGUUAUUUUGUAAUCUAGUUUGUAUCUUCAACUUAUUUGGUAAUUUUUUCAUGUAAUCCAUUGAUUGAUUGACUGAAAUUUCAACAAUACAACUUGGACAAUUAACUUAGCUAUUUUCAAUGUAAUAGAGUGGGGUUAGGUAUGUGAUUUGGUAGUCUUUUUGACUUGUACACUUCAUCUUUAGUUUUUCAUAUGUAAUGGCAAUGUGCUGAUGAUGUAUUAUGUAAUUACACAUCUUUUUCAUCAAGUUUUCUCAACUAAUUCCAUCGCUUCUUCUUCUGUUUUCUUUUUUCUUCUUUUCUUUUUGCUCGAAUUCUUCUUGUUUGGUUAGCAAGAAUCGUGACUUGCUGCUAAAGCUAUAGCUAGACCAGUUGCUUGCAUGCUCAUUGACACCAACAGAGGGGUGGGCAAGACCACCUUGGCUCGUGAAGUUGGAUGUCAAGCUCCAAAACUGAAUUUGUUUGACAAAUUUGUGAUUACGACUGUGUCUCAAAAGCCAAAUCUUGAGAGAAUUCAAGAUCAAAUUGCACAAUACAUAGGCUUUGAUAUGAAGAAUGAACGAGGAAGAAGAUCCGAGCAAGAAUUAUGGUUAAGGCUGAAGAAUGAACCGAGGAUUCUUGUCAUCCUUGAUGGUACAACUUGACUGUUUGGAUGAUGAUGAAGCUUGGACUCUGUUUGAAAAAAAAGCAGGUCUAAAUGACUUUUCUGAUGAUUCUAUUAAAAUCCUAGCAAAUCAAAUUGUCACAAAAUGCGGGGGUUCGCCUAUAGCUAUAGUUCCGUUGGGAAGUGCCUUAAAAGGUAAAACCCAUCAUGAGUGGCAAGUUGCAAACCGGAGACUCAAAGAUCGUAGAUUGACUGAAAUUGAGGAUGUUAAUGAAGAAAAUGCCUAUGUAUGUCUUGAGGCUAGCUUCGACUACUUGAAGAAUAUGGAGACCAAGACAUGUUUCUUGUUGUGCUCUUUAUUUCCUGAAGAUGAUGAGAUUUAUGUGGAGAACUUGGUAGGAUAUGCAUGGGGACUGGAGUUGUACUCAAUUAAAGAUGUUAGAAGUGAAGUGCUUGCAUCAAUUGAGACCCUCAAGAGCUCAGGUUUGUUGCUAGAUUGCGGAGAAAGGCAUGUCAAAAUGCAUGAUGUGGUUUGCCAAUUUGCUUUGUGGAUAGCAUUUUCAAGAAAGGAGAUAUCUUUUGGGACUGUUGAAACACUCCUGAUGGAUGAAAGUUUCAAGCAUUACACAGCAAUCUCCUUCGAAACUGAUCAAACGGAUGAACUUCCUAAAGGAGUGGGUUUUCCAUACCUCAAACUUCUUUUAAUUGGCAGUUUCAUGGAAUGUUCAAGCAAAUUCUUUGAGGGUGUGAAAGCAUUACAAGUUUAUGCUUUGGAAGAUCAUAUCUCUAGAUGCGUUUAAGUUUAAUAUGAACAUUCGAAUUUUGUGUUUGAUUGAUUGUGAACUCUCUGACAUCUCAAUGCUUGGGAAGCUAAAGACACUUCAUAAUCUCUCUUUAAGUCAAUCUGAUAUCACUGAAUUGCCGACUGAAGCUGGUGAUUUGGAAAAUCUAAGGCUGUUGGAUUUAUCGCAUUGCUAUGAACUAUGAAGAAUCGCUCCUAAUUUAAUACGAAGAUUGUCCAAUUUAGAAGAACUAUACUUGCAUGGGUGUAGUUCAUUAAAAUGGGCGACUGAGAACACAACUCAAAGAGAAAGCUAUUCUAGCCUGUCAGAGUUGGAUUUAUUACCAAAGUUGGUUGUAAUAUCAUUGGAUAUUUCUUCUAAACAUCUUCCAGAUGGCUUUGUGUUUCAUAGAUUAUGGAGCUUUGAUUUUUACAUUGGCAUUGAAAGAGAAAUGUGGUACCAAAAGGGGGAAGCUUAUCCAAUCUCAAUAUCUUUGUGAAUCAAUAACUCUGUAGAUGCAUGCAAGCAACUAUUUGAAGAUGUAGAAUCUCUUCAAUUGAAUGAUGUGGAGGGUCACCCAAACCUUAUUCCGAGCUUGAACUUGAGAUUUAGUAAGUUGACUUUUCUAGAUCUUGAUUGGUGCGACUCUAUGCAAUGCCUAAUUGAUGCAUCAAAGAAACUGGUGCCAAUCACUGUAUUCUCUAAUUUGAGAAAGUUAUCAUUAAUUAAUAUGUUUGAUUUGGAAGAGAUGUGCAAUGUUCCCCAGCUGCAAGGUUUCUUACAAAAGCUUGAAGAGGUUAUAGUUUCAGAUUGUGAUAAGAUGCAAAUGUUAUUCCCAAUUGCUGAAUUGGAGAGCCUAGAACAAGAAGUGCCCAGCCGUCAUUUAAGCCUCCAAAGUCUGAAGAUCGUUGAAAUAGAGAGAUGCAAUAAUUUGAAAUAUAUCUUCCCAGUUGCUAAUAGCCCUGGGCAAUUGCAUGCUUUGAAGAUAAAGAGUUUUCGGAGCUUGGAAGGCAUAAUCCAAGACUCACAAGUGCCAUACAUAAGUAUUCAAAGUUUAAGGGAAAUUGAAGUUGAAAAAUACGAUAAUUUAAAGUGUCUCUUCCCAGUGUCUGUUGCUAAUAGCCUUGGGCAAUUGCAUACUUUGAUGAUAAAGAGUUGCCGGAGCUUGGAAGGCAUAAUCCAAGACUCACAAGUGCCAUACAUAAGCCUCUAAAGUUUAAGAGAAAUAGACACUACAUGAAAAUAGGGCUUUAGCGGCGUUUUAUCAAAAAACGCAGCAAAAAUUGUAAAACACAGAGCAAUAGCGGCGUUUUAGUAAAAAACGCCGCUAAAAACAGAGCAUUAACGGCGCUUUUGGUAAAACGCCGCUAAAGACCCGAGCAUUAGCGGGGCUUUUGGUAAAACAACGCUAAAGACCAGAGCAUUAGCGGCGCUUUUGGUAAAACGCCGCUAUAGACCAGAGCAUUAGCGGCGCUUUUGGUAAAACGCCGUUAAAAGUCAUAUAACCCCUAAACCCCAAAAAAAUCAUAAACACUAAUGUAUAACCCCUAAAAAAAUAUUUAUUAAAAUUUAUGGUUAUACAAUAUAUUAAAUAUUUUCUUAUAUAAUCGUAAAAGAGAUAGUAUUGAAUUUAAAAUAUUAAAUUAAUUAUCAUUAUAGUUUAAGGUUUAUGGUUUAAGAUAUAUGGGUUUAAGGUUUAUGAGUUAACUAUGGUUUAGGGUUUAAGGUUUAAGAGUUAACUAGUAUUUGAAGGUUUAUGAUGAAUUAUGAGUUUAGGGAUUAUGAUUUAAGGUUUAAGGGUUAGGGUUGGAGUUUAAGGUGUAAGGGUUUAGGGUUAAGGGUUUAGUGUUUAUGGGAUAUGGGUUAAGAGGUUUAGGGUUUAGAUUAAUUAGUAUUUUUUAAUUUAUAUAUUAAACGAUUUCUUAUAUAAUUGUAAAAGAGAUAAUAUUAAUUUGAAUAUAUUAAAUUUAUGAUUAUAGUUUAAAUUAUUUAAGAGAUAAUAGUAGGGUUUAGGGGUUAAGGUUUAGGGAUAAAUAUAGUGAACUACUUAACUUGUGUAUCUUGGAUUUUUUUAUAAUAUAAAUCUAAAUAAGAUAAAUAUAAAUUAUUAUUUUAAAAAUAUAUAUAUCAAAAUGGGUUAAAUCCCAAAAGCAUAAAUUAUGAACACAAUUAUUGAUAUAACAUCAUUUUAUAUUUAUAUAUUGCAUACAUAAAUAUUUAUAUUUAUUCAAUAUAAAAAUAUAUUGAUGUAUUUAUUUUUUAAAACGUGUAUGAUUAAAUUAAAAUUAAAGUUUCAACUAUACAUUUAAACCACAAUUAGAAUUUCACGUCUAAAAUUACACAUUAAAUUGAAAUUCAUAUAUAAUUAUGAGAUGUAUCUCUAUCAAAAUUUAGGUGUAUACAUAUAAUUAAAUAUAAUUUAAAUUAUUUAAGAGAUAAUGAUAAAGUUUAUAUAUAUUAAAACAAAAUAAAAGAUUUUUAAUAUAGCAAAAAGGUGGGAAAAUGGCUUUUUGUGGCAAAAUAAGCAACAGUGGCGUUUUUUAUAAAAAAACGCCGCAAAAUUUUUUGCCGCAAAAUUUUUUACAAGAAACGGUAUCUGUUACCCCAAAAUGCAUUAGACUUUUUUGUUCCCCCUUCCCCAAAAUCCCAAAAUUUGACAAGAAAUCUUUCUUUUUUCCCUCCUUUCUUUUCCCAAAAUCGGUUCCCUCCCCCUCCCAAAGAAAUCCUAAAAUUUCACUUGAAAUUUCUUCUCUUUUUUUCCCCAUUUUAUUUUUCCCAAACCAUUUCUCCCCUACCCCGAUUCCCUUUAUUUUUUCCCCCAAUUUCCCCAAAUCGGCAGGCCUCUGCAUCUCCGUCGGUAGCCCGCUGCUGUAUCUCUGUCGACAUCUGCUGUCAAGUAUAUUGAAAGGGGACCUAAGGUAUGUACUAGGAUUUUCUUUUCUUUUCUUUUUGCUUUCAUUUCAUAUUUACAGUUCUGAUUUCUUCGGUUAAUGUUCUUGAUAUUGUAUCUGUUUGCAUUUUCUUUUUAUUCAUAGGCUAAAUUGGGCUCCUUUUUUCUUGUUUAGACUCAAUGGAUUGAUUUCAAGGGUUUCUUUAACUAGUAAACUCCCCUCUCUCUCUUUGUUUACUAUCACUGUUUUUACUUGUAAUUUUCAUAUUAAUAACUAUCUCUUCAAAUGGGUUUUCUUUUCAAUUUAUAUGCCAUCGGGGAUAGACCUCUUUAGUCUUCGAAAACACUUUCCCUGAUCGUUAAUUUUACUGCAGUUGCCCAAUACCUUGAUAUCCAUGGCGAGAAAGGCAUCUUCUUUUAAAAAGAAAAAGAAAAAUAGCUUAAUUUCUUCUAUAAAAGGGUCAUAGGUUACUACUGAAAGGGGAAGAGGGCUAAACAAGGGUGCAAGAAGGAAAAGUUUUUUCUCUAAAAAGGUACUCUUGUUCUCUUUGCUUAAAUGGAAAAGAACUGAGGAGGAUAUUCUUCUUCUUUGAAAUUUAACUUUAAAUUUAUUAGGAUUUAUGUAGUUUGUUGCAGAUCUGCUAUAGUUUCAAAUUGAACAUCUGGUUUCUAAUUUAGAUCUUAUUAUCUUUUUUAUGUUUAGUUUUUUUUCUCUAAUUUAUCAUUUAUCAUUUUUUCUCUUAAAUUCUCAGAGUAUACCGUCUGCAAAACAUGGAGGGUAAUGGCAAUGAACAACCAAAAUGUCAAAGAAGUUUUGAUCAUCGUGGGAGGAAGAAUGUAAUUUGUUUUUGAAAAAGUUUCCUCUUUUCUCAUAAUUGACUACUGAACACUUUACCUCUUUUUUUGUCCUCCAUAUGCAGAAUUGCUGGGAGUUAGUUAUCCAGAUUUUAUGUAUGAUACUGGAUGAUAAUACUAUUCCGAAUAUAGUAACGUUUUCUCUUCGCUUUAUAGUUUUUCUUUUAAAUUCUUUAUUAUUAUAAUUCGUUUUCGAUAAAAUUUCAAGUAAAUAUUCCCUUCUAAAUUUAUUAUGCAGCGGUCUUGGGACAAAAAAAAAGAAGAGAAAUUAGAAGAGGCCUUGACGCAGCUGGAAGAUAUUAUGAUGAAAAAUGACUUGCUAGAGGUUGAAUCAUUUCUAAAACUGUAAAAAAAUUCAACUCAGAACGAAGAGUACUUAGUUCUUUAUUUAUUUGGGUUUGGGAUAUGAAUUGUGAGUUUUUGGUUUGUUCUUCACAAGGAUCUAUUUUAAGCUUUUGGGUUUUGUUUUUGAGUGUUUAGAGAAAGAGAAAUGGCUGGAAGUAAUGAAAUCAACCUCAACGAGUGCAAGGUACAAUAUUUUCUCCUUUUUUUUUUUCCAUUUACUCAUUGUUUAUAUUCUUUCUAGAAUUGGGUUGUCAAAGUUGAGUUCUAUAAUGAAUUCUUCAUAUAUUUGUUGUCCUCUCUUUUGCUUUUUGAUCUAACAAUAAUUAAUGCAGUCAUCUGUUUUGACAAUUAAUUUAUUAUGUUCUUCAUCAUAUAUAUGUUGUUGUGUUUAAGAUGCUAAUAAAAUCAAGGGAAAUUUCACAAAGGAGUUAUUUAAGUUAGAUGCAAGCUUAUUUCUUGAUAUGUGAAGGAAUAUAUUAUGUGGCCUAGUUAUGUAUAAAGAUUCAAUUAUAAAGAGUAUUUAGACUAUUUAUUUGAAUCUGUCUAAUUGUAUUAUUGAACUGUCUUAGUGAAUUAUGUGGUUUACUUGGUCUUUGUAGUCAAGAGGCUCAACUAGAGAUGGUACCGGAGUUCAUGACAGCAUUGUGAACCAGCUGCUUACCAAUGUCAGUAACUAGACCCAGGGACAGCUUCUUAGUCUUAAAAAUCAUUACUCUUUGUCUUGUGUCAUUUUCUUGGUUCUUGUGGUAACCAUGUCUUAUUAAUAUGACACUUUUAACUAAAGGAAUAAUUUGCUUUUCAGAUAGAUGGAGUGGAGUCUCUAAAUAAUGUUUUGCUUAGUGGAAUGACCAACAGAAAUGAUCUGCUUGAUGAAGCCCUUUUGAGGUUACUCCCUCCGUCCUCCAUCCCUCCUUUCUCUCUCCCCCCCACACACAUGCAAAAAGCAAGCUAUCUGUCUAGCUCUUUGUCACAUUGGAUCUUCCUCUAUAUAAGAAGCUUGAUUAACAACCAAAGACUAGAAACAAAAUAUUGAUGCAUUUUAUAGUUACAACAAACUGUUAGUUAUUAUGGAGAAUUUGAUGGCCUAUGAAUAAGGUUUAUACUUAUGAUCUGGAGUAAGCAUGCUGCAUUGUAAGCUAAGUAAUUUUUUAUGUGCAUAAUUUUGUGUGCUUUGCGAACUUUUUGGUUUGUGAUGGUUGAUGCAGUUACAUUAUGAACUGUCUUGUCUCUUGAUCUCAGCUAAAUCUUUGAAUACUUUUCUUCUGUAGGCCAGGACGUUUGGAGGUUCAAGUUGAGAUAAGUCUUCCUGACGAAAAUGGUCGUUUGCAGAUUCUUCAGAUUCAUACAAACAAGAUGAAAGAGAAUUCUUUUCUUGCUCCUGAUGUUAACCUUCAAGAGCUUGGUAUGUUUGUUAGUAAUUUAUGGUUGUGGGAUUUACAUUCUUUUCUUGUAUGGGAGAAUCAUCUGUUAGAAUGUCAAAAAGUGGGUUCAUUUUUAGAUAGUUUUGAUUCUUUGGCAUUUUCUUCCAUUUUUGUUACUUUGAAUUUGGUAUGAGCUUUUUGUUUUUCUUUCUUUCCAUAAAUGUAAAUGUGCUUAAAAUUUAUCUAAAAAUUCUCAUCGACAGAAAUUUUCAUAAAUUGUAUUAUCUGUUGCUGGUAGAUUGCCCAUUUAUUUAAACAUAAUAUUUAAAUUCUAAAUUUAAAUUCAUCAAUUUUUAUAUUUAGUUUUAAAGUUAAAAUUUUAAUAGAAAAUUUAAUUUAAUUAAUUUUUUUAUUUAUUUUAAGAGUAUAUAGUUUAAAGUUUCAAAAAUAAAAUAUAAUAUAGAAAAUAAAUAUUAUUUAAUAAAAAUAUAUUUUUUUAAAGCUUAUAUUCUUUAGUGGCGUUUGUGAGAAAAGCGCUGCUAAAGGUUUGUUCCGUAGCGGCGUUUGUAAAAAAGCGCCGCUGAAGGUCAUGGUCUUUAGUGGCGUUUGUGAAAAAAGUGCCGCUAAAGGUCAUGGUCUUUAGUGGCGUUUUUUUAAAUAAACGCCGCAAAAUUUUGCGGCGCCGUCUAUAGUGGCGUUUUUUGCGGCGCUUGUGAAAACGUCGCUAAAGGAAAAAAAACGCCGCUAAAAGUCUAUUUUCCUGUAGUGAGAAGUUGAAAAAUGCAAUAAUUUAAAAUACCUCUUCCCACUUUUUUUUGCUAAUAGCCUUGGGCAAAUGCAUACUUUGAAGAUAAAGAGUUGCUAGAGCUUGGAAGGCAUAAUUCAAGACUCACAAGUGCCAUACCUCCAAAUUUUAAGGGAAAUAAAAGUUGAAAAAUGCGAUAAUUUGAAGUAUCUCUUCCCACUGUCUAUUGCUAAUACCCUUGCGCAAUUACAUACUUUGAAGAUAAAGAGUUGCUCGCAAUUGGAAGAUAUAAUCCAAGAUCCACAAGUGGCAUACAUAUGUCUACUCCAAAGUCUAAGGGAAGUAUGUGUAUCUCAUUGCAAGAACUUGACAUCUGUUUUCCUUAUUGUCCUAUGGUUAAAGAUUGAGAAAUUUGAUUAUGCUUUUCAUUUCAAGUUUCGUUGAUUGGUUUGCCUCGAAGGGGUUUGAAUGACAUUAUACUCACACAAUCGUCUUUGCAAAAGUUAAAAGUGUACAAUUGUUCUCAAUUGACACAUUUUAUUAUUUCGACUAAGAUACAAAUAAGAUUUUUCUUUUUGUUUUAUAUUAUUUAUUUAUAUAUUUGUUUCUCUUUUUUUUUUAAUAAUUCGUUGUUUGAAUAGUUAUUUAAAAUAAAUUUUAUUCUAUAAUUUAUUGAAAUCUUCACCUUUUCAUAAUUUGUUGUCCAAAAUAAGUAAAUGUUUGUAUAACACUUUAAAAGAUAGUUUUCAUUUUAGAAUUUUAGUUUAAAAACUAAUCUAAAUAAACCUUUUAAGUAGUUUAGUUAAUUACAAUACCAAUUAGUAACAUAAAUAAAAUUUCAUUGAAUAAAUGGUUAAGACAUUUUAUUCUUAUGUUGCAAACUCUAUCUAGUAUGACAUAAUAUUAUUUAUGUUGUGUUUUUGCACCAUUAUUUUGGUGAUUUUUCAUUUUUUCAAAAAAAAAAUUGAAUUCUUUUGACUAUAAAAGAUUGAAAAAGAAAUCUUGGUUAAUGUUCAAACUGUAAGAAUCUAAUAAGUAAAAUAAAUUAAACCUUAAUUCUUUAAAAAAAAAGUUAAAAUAGGAGUUACAUAAGAAAAUGAAUUAAUAAAAUGAUAGGUGAGAUGUUAAUCGCUUUGAAUACUUUGAAAUUGAUGAUUGAUGAUAUGUUUAUAGGUAUUGGAGUUGUCGGAGAUGACAGAAAAGUUAGUCCCUGAAAUGAGAGGAGAAACAUCAACAAUUUCCAAUUUUGAAGAGUUAUUUGAUUUUAGAUAUAAUCUUUCAAGUCUGAAGACCCUAAACUUGUCCGAACUAACUGAAUAGCGGGUGAUAUGGAGUGCUCCCAUCCAAGUUGAUUACUUUGAAAAUCUCUAUCAAUUGACAGUCCAAGAUUACAGAAGGUUAAGAUACAUCUUCUCACCUACCAUCGUUCGAAAUUUGCCACAAUUGUCCAGGUUGGGUAUAUUUAACUGUGAGGAAUUGGAGCAAAUAAUUGAUAAGGAUCAAACUCCGUCACAACAUCAUCUCCAACCUAUUUGCUUCCCUAAUUUGAAGCAGAUUACAAUCAAGAGGUGUGAAAACUUGAAAUGUUUGUUCCCAAUUACUCUCGCUGAUGGCUGCCUUCAAAAACUAGCUAGAACUAACGCUUAGCGGGGUCUCCAAAUUAGAGCAGGUGUUUGAAGGAGAUGAGGGAAAUGUGAGUAAGGACGAAGAGAAAGUGAUACACCUACCUCAGCUCGGCUUCUUGGAGCUUGAUGGGAUACCAAACCCCGUGAGCUUCAGCCCUGUGGGUUAUCAUUUUAUUUUCCAAUCUUUGUGCAGUUUGGAAGUCACAUAUUGUCCCAACAUAACCACAAGAUUUAGUGUUGAUUCAGAGAAAUCAGUGCAUGCCAGAACACAGGUACACUACUCUUCCAAACUCAAUAAUAAGCUUUAAAACAGAAAUUCAUCCAUCGAAUUAUUUUCUCUAUGCAUUCUCUCAAACUCUUUAUUUACUAAGCUUUAAUUUCUAUGCAUUAAAACAAUAUUUUUAUUUUGGUUGUCUGAGAGAAAUUCUUUUCUUAUGCUUUAAAUGACUGUAAAUGGUUUCUGUUGGCUGUCAAUAUUUCUUUAUAGAUAUCCUUGUUGCAUUAUUAUUUUCAUUUCACAGUUCUUGGUCUUAAUAUGUCAUCCUUUGUCCAAUUUUGGAAAAUUGUCUUUUCUUUCUUCACCACCAAUCAUCAGAAGCAAACCGUAAUAAGUCAAGGUUUACAUUGUGUUGCAGGCAAGCCAAUCAGUUGAUGAAGUUAAUGGAGAAACUACAUUUCCAAUUGGUCGUGAUAUAGAUUGGUAUAAAAAUUUCAAUUGAAUGCCAUUUCUUUAUUAAAAGGAGUACAGAAGUGGUAGCCAUAUAGACUAGCAUAAGCAUUCAAUUGAAUCCCAUUUCUUUCUUACGAGAUUAAUUUCAAUGAUUAAUAUAUUAAAAAACCCUUAAACAUGUCCUUAAAUUUUUUAUUUGCCUUCAUCCUCAUGAGUUGCAGUUUUCUCACCUUCGUCUUUCUCUCACCCAACACUGCCGAGAACAACUUCUCAUCUUCCAUCCUAUGCUGAUGACUAAAAUUUGAAUCCUCUUCAGAAUCCAGCGGCUCUUCGACUAAGUCUAGCAUUACAGAACGUAAAUAUAAAUAUUUUGUUUCUUUACAAGUCCUUCCAAAAGAUAACAAAGUCCUCGCCGAUUUUCUUAGCGAAUAUGGACUCUUCCCAGCUUUAGAAGAAAGGAAGGCUUGGUUAAUGACAAUUUCAACCUUCAGUCUAGCUUUCCUUUAGUACUCUUGGGUUCUUCUAAGCUACCUUCAAGUUUCAAAUAAAUGUGAAUUAAUCCAUAUGUUUUAAAACAAAGGGUAAAUUCCACUACUAGUCCCUCAAUUAUAUCUCAUUUAAUAAAAAAAGUUAUAAUUUGAUGAUUAACAUUUUUAAAAUUAUUUUUUGUCGCCGACCAAUAAAUGACUAAAAGUUACACUUUUUUAGUUUCUCCAUUUUUGUUCCCUAGGUCUUGUGGAAACAACUGAAGGUUUUGUGAUGCGUUACAUGCUGUUGAAAAACAUCUUUCAAAACUAAUUUCAUUUAGACUUGUGAAAUUAACUUUGAUGUCAUUCUUUUAGUAAAAAAAAUACAAAAUAUACAAAAAAAAAUUCUUUUUCAAGUUCCAUAAAAAAAAUUAUUUUUUGUUGACUUGAAACAGUUGCCAAGCAACAAGCAAAGUAUGAGCAUAAGUGGCUACGGAAGUGGUACUUCUGCAAGCGUUGUGAUUAGCAAAAAGAAAAUAUGAAACAAUUACAACAGUGAACCUAAAUAUAUCACACUCCAAUGAUGAUUCCUUACUCUUGUACCUUCAAAGAUUAGAUCACUCACCACAAAGUUCUCCAAGCCACUAAAUUCUCCCUUGGAGAACUUUGUUUGUAAAAUCAUAAUGCAAAAGUUUACAAUCACAAAUGCACUUUCAUAAAUAAUGUUCCUCACAUAUAAAUGGUCUUAAUAAUUAGUGCAUCAACCUAUAAUUUUAUAUUUUACAUUAUUUUUGCAUAUAUUAAAAAUAUUAUGUUAAAUUCAGAUUCAUUACAAUCUCAUUUUUUAAUUACAUGACUACUAAGUGAGUAUUUUUUAUUUAAAAAUGUGACAUUAAUAAAAUUGACAAAAAAAAAUUAACGAUGUCAACAAUUAUACUUGAUUUUCAAAUUUGAAAAGUAAACGGAUUAAAUUCUUGAAAAUAAAAGUAUAAACACUAAAUUACAAAUAUAUGAAGUGUACAUAAACUUAUGACAUAUUUUAACCAUUAUACUACAAAAUAUUUAUUAUUAAUAUAUUUAUAAUUGUAAUAAAUAUUUAUUAUUAAAAUAUUAAUAUAGAAUAUUUUCAAUUAUAUGUAAAUAAUAUUAUUUAAAAUUAUUAUUCUUAAAAUUUAUUAUUAAAAUAAAAUUAAAAUAUUAAAUAAUUUAUUAAAAUAAUAAAUUAUAUUUAUUAUAUCACUAAAUAUAAAUACUUAAAUAUGUAUUUUAAUAAUAUUAAAAAUAUAAUAUUUUAAAUAUUUUUAAAAAUAAAAAUAAAAAUUAUUAUUAAUAUAAUAAUAUUAAACUUAAUUUAAAAUAAUUUUUAUAUAAAAAUAAAAUUAUCCAUAAAUAAACUCUUUCGUAAUUCGUCCUCAUCAUUUCAUGUCAUGUGACUGUUAAUUCCCAAACAAAUGCACAGGUCAUUGGCAAACCAACCAGAACCAACUUGCAGCAAAGGAAGAUUCCCCUUUCCUUUUCAAUCCACUAAAAUACAGAAACAAAAACAAAUACUCAGAUUUAGAUCCAAUAUUGUAACAAUCUCAUAAUUAAGGCACCAAAUCCACUCACGCAAUUACUGAAACUUCAAGGAAAAUGUGAGAGCAUCGAUUUAUUAUUUUUUUAAUGACUUAAUUGCAAUAUAAUUAAUCCAUAAACUUUAAAUUAUUUUAAUUAUAUAUCCAAAUUAAUCGGGUUAUAUCAAUUAAGUUUUUUUAUUACUAAAAUUAUUAAUUUAAUGGAAAAUUAUCUCCCGAGACUCUCUCUCAAUUUUAAAAUUGAGCAAACUAGUCACUCUCAAAAAAAUUAAAGCAAUUUAAACACUAUUAAAUUUGAAAGUAAGCAAUUGAAGACAAUUAAUCACAAAUUAAAUUACUUUGAUUUUUUUAAAAGGGACUACAGAGGUCGUUUUAGCCAGUUUAAUUGUUAAAUUACAUGUUAGAUCUUAUGUGACAUGAUUUAAAAUAAUUUUUUUAAAAAUAAAUAUUGUAAAAAAUAGAUGUUUUAUAAAUAUUAAUUUUGAGAUUUUCGAAGUUUUUACAUUGUUUACCUUUUUUUUUUAAUUUUACUUAAAAUUGUUUUUAUUUUUAAAAAUCAUGCAACAUCAUUCUAUUUAUUUAAAAUUUUUAUUUUAAAUUUCGUUACAUAAUAUUUAAUGUGUCAUUUAAUGAUUUUAAUAUAUGAUUAAUAGUUUGGAUGUAAUUAAAACAGUUUGAAAUGUAGGGACCAAUUUAAAUCCCACUUCAAUAAUUUUUUUUUUUUGACAAACACUUCAAUAAUAUUAGUUUGUGGUAAGUGGGGCCAUUUUUUCAAAUAGGAAAAAAAAAAGCACGGGGUGACUGGUAAACCAAUCAGCACCAACUUGUUGCAAAGGAAGAUUCCCCUUUCCGUUCCAAUCCUCUAAAAUACAAUUAGAAAAACAAAUCCUCAUAAUUUAGAUCUAAGACUGCAGUAAUCUCAUAACACAAAUCCUUUGGCUACUAAACCAAGAAAAUCCAGUUGUGUUUCCGAGUGGUUGAAUCUUCCAGGCAGAUAAACUUCCAUUUCUUUCUGAAAGUUGUGUUUCCAUUUCUUUCCGAGUGGUUCAACCUUGAUUUCUACUUUGUUCUUUUUUCUUUUUAUUUCGCUUUCUUCAACUUCCUUUCUUUUUGUAGUCAGUUUUACUUACUUUUGCUCAAAAAAGAAAAAAAAAAAACCCAGCCUUCAAAUCCCUUUUGAUUGAUUUGAAGUAGUAAGAAUCUUCUCAACACAAAGUGUAUAGUUUGAUUUUGAGGUAAAUCUAUUUAUAUUUGUAUUUAUAUAUAUAUAUAUAUAAAUUAAAUUUGUUAUAUAUUUUUUUUGAUCUCAUCUCAUCUCAUCUUUUUAUGUUCUUCUUGAAGCAAAUUAGAGGUAAAGGAGUGUUUGGAUUGACGAUCAAAUUCUUGGAGUUACAACUUCAUUUUGAAGUGGUAAGUGGAUAUGUUUCCAUCAUUCUUAUAACUAAUUAUAUG